UACAAACAGAACAUAGGAAUUUUAUUGGCGAAAAGGCUUGAAAAAUACAAUCACUUCAACCAAACCAAAUGUAAACAAACCAUGCCGGAAUUUAAUCAACAAUGUGACACUUAGGAUAAAAACACACAUCGAAAUUUAAUCGACAACAUGAAUCUGGAAAUUAUAGCUAAGAAACUCACUGGAAUUUAAUCGACGUGAGUCUGAAUUUGAAAGUACAAUAUAGAAAAUCCUUCAACGAGGGGGAGCAAAUGUAAUUUAGGUCAAACUCCCUCCAUCCAAACAUGGCUCGAGAGAAACUGGAUCAGUUAUUAGUGAGUGCACACGGUUCCUCGAAAGAUCGUCUGGAGCUCCAACUGCAUCACCGUCAUGGUACACACAAUGCGCCAUCCGUGCAAGGUUGAAAGCCAUCCGCACAAAAGAUUGAUUGAAGGUUGAGUCAUUGACUAGAUAUUUGUUCAGCUUCUUCCACGUUGUGUCGAUCAGUUUGAUAACGUAUUUGCGAGCCUCUAACUCGGAGACCCCCAUUUCUUGCAUGCAACACCAGAUUGAAUUUGUCGUCUCUCCCCUCUCGAGCUCAGCCUAUUAGGAAAAUGUUUUUGCCAAUUGGUUUAGAAGAAGCUGCCCGAGAAAUUAUGAAUACGUGGACAGAAAUUUCAGUUGUUUCACUACAGAAAAAUGUGCCUGUAAAAGGUUCAUUGUGACACAAAAAAGAAGAAGAAAAAGAAUGAAGAGAGCUGUGCCUGUAUAAGGUUCAUUGUGACACGAAAAAAAAAAUACGGACUGAAGAGAGCUGAAAACAUGCAUACCGAUGAGGUAGCGAGAUCAUUGGUAAGACGGAAAAUCAUGGAUGGCAACCGCAAGAGAUCAUGGUAAUGUUCUAGUGAUUCAAGUUCCUCCUUUCUCAUGCUUGGACUGGAUAAAAAGUAGGCAUGAAUCAACAUGACAUGCCCUGAUACUGAAAUCCACCCGUUGUUUAAGUACUCUUCUACUCGUGGGGUGAUCUUGUUGUGACUCCAUUUAGCUUCUUGCAAGAAGGCUUCACACGAAUCAUACCACUACAAAACAGUAGAAACACCAAAUGUCCGUAUUACGUAGGAGAUUCCUUAAACAAAGAUGCAUGCAUGGUCGAUUAAUACAAUGUCGAGUCAUGUACCGCUUUUGUCAAAUACGGGAUGACAUUUUCCCGAGUCUCCUUGAGAGUGUCGUAAGCCAGUUCGUUCACGCUGUUGUAGAGAGCUAAGAAGCACAACUUCAUAUAGCCAGGAAGAUCUUCCACAGCAUUAAUGUCCCAUCUGAAACCACGAAUGAUAAGAUGACACUUAUGAAAUGCGUGAAUAUUAUUAUCUCCAGGCAUGUCGAUGAGAGAUGGACCUGCGAACAGCGUCUGUGAAUAGCUCCAGUUCGUCCAAUGUGCCAUAAAUAUCGUACACAUCGUCGAUGAUGACGUUCAGCAUGUUCACUUUGGUCAGCCCUUUCCGACAAUUACUGAGUGGAUGCUCAUCUGCCACUGCGACCGCUGCAAAGAAGCACUCCACUAGUCUAUCCCUCACGAAGUUUAGUUCGUUUGCGAGGCCAACAUUAUUCCACCAUCUGCAGCAAAUCAAAGAGUAAAAUUUUUAGAGUAUACAUUGCAAUUUUCUCGAACACAUGUCAAGCUUUCUAAAGUCUAAUUACCUUACAGUCCAUGAAUUCCAUCGUCCAUUAUAGGAUUUUUCCUCAUGAGUUUGCAGACUAACCUUGACAUUUCCUGAAGAUCUCUUUGGAGGAUUGAUUGCGACGUGUUGAAGUUCAGCACGGCAAAUUCGAGGAUUCGAUGAUUGGUGUAUCCGUGUCUGCUGUAAGCUUCAAUGGACUGUCGAGCUUCUAGCAAUGGCAUUCUACGGUGCAGAGGCAGUUCUAAUUCAUGUUUCACUUGGUCUUGAAGAUCUUUGUUGACGUUGCGAUUAAGAUUUCUGAGAUGCUCAAUGGCGAAUGAUCUAGCCCCGUGCAAGAUGUCUUCUUCUUCAAAGGCCAAAUGGGAGGCUUCGUGUAGACUCAGCAUACCUUGGACAUCACCACCAAGGGUCUUCAUAAAACUGCCACUUUCGUCCAUGAAAAUCUUUAAAACAUCUGUUUAUUCGAAGCCUAGAUUAGUCCAUCUGAUUAGAGAAAGAUACUAUGCAGUUUUUUUUAUUUAUAAAGCCCUUGGCUUAUGAGAGGAUAUGGUGAGGUCCUAUGCCGAGAGCUAUUAUAGAUGUCACUAUAACAAGUGUUUAGCAUGUCAUAGUGAUUACAGAAUACUUGUCUGUUUCAUAAAAUCAUUUCGAACCUUCAUACACAAGAGUUAGUAUAACAAAAAUUGCAAAAGCAUCUUGGUCCCACUUUUGAGAACUAUCUUCUAAUUGCUUUUGUUUCAUCAGAUUUACGAUGAAGUACCUUGAGAAACUUCAAAGCCGUGCUGUCUAAAAAUCCGAAAGCUUAGAGCUGUGCCAUGCAGAGACUUCUGCCGGCUCUUAUUGACCGCAUCAUUAGAGAGACAUCUGCGAAGAGCUCUCGAAAUGUCUUCCUCAAAAUGUUGGCCGAGUCCUAAGCGUUGAAAGUCAUCAACCAGAGCAAAUAUGGUCAUGGGUUCAGCUUUUUCGUCAUUGAGAGCACCUCUCACUUCUUCUUCCAACAUUUGUGCCUUUUCUCUCUGUAGCUCGACCUACGUUAGAAGAAAGUAAAAUCCACAGCUUAGUGUUUGAACCCUAGAAAAAAGCAAAGAAAGAUACUUCAAAGGAAGAGGUGGAAAUCUUCUAUCUAGUGGUCCCAUUUAUGUCACAUGCGUGGGAUUAUGACUGAUUUUUUAAGAUGAAAUAAUGUUGUGUAAAAGACGUCAAGAUACACGAGGAUAGAGGAUUUCAUCUUUUCAUGGCAUGCUGUAUUUUUUGAUAGGUUUAUAUUGUUAACUAAUCACAAAUGACAAUCGUUGAUGACUCUCUAUUCUCGUUUGGAUAAGACUUGCUACAUACUUGUUGGAAGAAAACCUCUUCCAAUCAAUAUUCGGGUUGGCGGAUACAAUACUGUGAAUGGCAUAAUUUUUGUAUGACGCUCACUUAAAUAUCAUAAUGUUUUUUCAAUUGUCUAAGUGUCAUAAUUUAUAUACGACACUCAUUUGAGUAUCAUAACUUUUUUUUCAAUCACUUAAAUACCAUAUAACUUUUCAAUCUAUUACUUAAAUGUCACAAAUUUUUUAAAAAACAUUCCAUGUUAGAUUUCUAAGAUUUGGAUAAGCAUUUAUAAAAGGGUUUGGCACUUAAGUGAUAGAUUAAAAGUUACAAUACUCAAGUAAACAUUUUUCAGAAGUUAUGGCACUCGAGUGAUCGAAAAAAAAAUUAUGAUACUUAGCGAAUGCUGUAACGAAAGUUAUGAUAGUUGUGGUGUUCCUUACCUUUAGUUAUAUCCAUAUUUCGAUGAUGGCCUUCCAAUUCAUCCAUCAAAAACAUGAUUAGAGGAAACUAGUUAUGGAGGAAAAUAUGACCUAUCAAUAAAAGUGAUAAAUCUUGAUUAUGAGACCACAUGAAUUAAUAAUUAUGACAAUGGGGAGAUCAUUAAAUCAAAUGUCAUACUCAUCAAGUUAGUACAGUGACGCCUAACAUAAAGUUACAGCACAACCAAGUUUGAUCGACAGUUUGUCCUAGGGUAAUUAUCCUCUCUAAUUCCAAAAUUUCAUCUAUGUUUUAUUGAGAACGUGAGAAUAAUUGAACUUCCAAUUAGACUAAAUUCCCACCGAUGCAUUGAGCUGCCUUGUCCACGUACCUGCAGCAAUGCUCCACCCACAAGUGGCCAAUGUAGGAACCAAGGCUACUUUGAGCGAAAGACAUUAAUGUCUCGUAUUCAAACCAAGUAUUUAACCACUCAUCUAAACAUUAUAUUUAAGUUCAAACCAAAUUACGAAAAUCGUCUUCUUUUCUUUUGACAGUAGCAUAAAUGUCUCGUAUGGAGAACAUAUAGCUAGAGUGUGGUUUUUUACCGCAUGACGAGAUUGACGGCUUUCAUCAGAAUCAAGUGACUGAAGGUAAUUGUGAGUCCAGACGGUUGGCUGAUAAUUGGCCGAUCUCCGUCGUCCUUGAGUAUCAGAGACCUGCGUGCUCGCUCAACAAUGGACUCGACCAUUAGCCGUUGGAGAGGGAAGCUUCGGAAGAUAAGGCGCGGACAAAAGACGAAGUGCCAUUACUCACACGAAUUGGACUAAGGCCAAUCCUACAAAAGGUGAAAACUCAAAGAUCAGUGCAUACUCUCAGUUAGCGUGAACGGUCCCUAUUUAUACAAAAUAUCUGAUUCCCUAGGACACAACGUUGGAAUACGCUACUAGAUUUUCGACUUCAAGCGAUCGUCGCUGUUGUCGUGACGGACCAUAUGCUCUUGUCCUCUCAUUUUUCUACGUAUGCUCGAUCACACGCUGCUGCUGGAUUGUCCCUCGUCGAAUCUUCUGUCCAUGUUGCUCAAUCACACGCUACUGGGCUCGCCUCUCGUCCAUCCGUUAGUGUCCUCGUGUUUUUAGCCGAACACCUGUUCGGAAACAAAUGGCGCACGAGAAGUUGUGUCAUUCUCAGGAUCGAAGAUUUUAUAUGGAGAUAUUCUCUCUAUAUACCAUCAUUAUUCUCCCGCAAGCUAUAAAGAGGGAAUCUGCACGGAACAUACAGUUAUGGAUGGUCCCUUGUUCUCCCAGAGAAGCAAGGCCCCACCUUCUGGGAAAGGGAUUGAUGCUCGAGAGAAAUAGGCUCGAUUAUCAAUGAGUGCAUACGGUUCCUCGACCGGUUGUCCGGAGCUCCAUGCGCAUCUCCAUCCUGGUACAUGAAAUGUGUUGUCCGGGCAAGAUUGUAAGCCAUCCGCACAAAAGAUUGAUCGAAGGUGGAGCCAUUGACUAGAUAUUUGUUCAUCUGUUUCCAAGAUGUGUCGAUCAAUUUCAUAACGUAAUCGCGAGCCACUGAUUCGGAGACCCCCAUCUCUUGCAUGUAACACAUGAUUGAAUUCGUUGUUUCUCCCCUCUCUAGCUCAGCCUGUUAGGACCAUAGUUUUGCCAAUUGUUUUAGCAGAAGAUUAUUUUAGAAGAAGCUAUCUAAAAGAUUAUUGAGUAUAUGGAUAUUAUGACUGCAGAAAAAAGAAGUAUUUGCAUAAGGUUAACUGUGAAACAGGAAAAAUCAAACUAGAGAGAGCUGAAAAAAAUGCAUACCGAUGAGGUACCGAGAUCAUUGGUAAGACCCAAAAUCAUGGAUGGCAAGCGCAAGAUAUCAUGGUAAUGUUCUAGCGAUUCUGGUUCCUCCCGUCUCAUGCUUGGGCUUGAUAAAAAGUAGGCAUGAAUCAAUAUGACAUGCCCUGAUGAUGAUAUCCACCCAUUGUUCAAGUACUCUUCAAAUCGUGGGUUAGUCUUGUUGUAGCUCCAUUUGGCUUCUUGCAAGAAGGAUUUGCACAAAUCAUACCACUGGGAAGCAAUAGAAAUACCAAAUUUACGUAUUAGGUAGGAAAUUCCUAAAAGUCGGAUGCGUACAUGGUCAGUUAGUACAAUGUCGAGUACUGAAAAGUCUUUUCGCUUACCGAUUUUGCUAGAUACGGGAUGACAAUUUUCCCGGUCUCCUUGAGAGUGUCGUAAGCGAUUUCGUUCACGCUGUUGAAGAGAGCUAAGAAGCACAACUUCAUAUAGCCAGGAAGAUCGUCCACAGCAUUGAUGUCCCAUCUGAAACCACACAAAUGACAAGGUGGAACCUCAACCUCUAAAAUGCAUGAACGUUAUUGUCUCCAAGUAAAUGGACGAACGAUGAACCUGCGAACAGCAUCAGUGAAUAGCUCCAGUUCGUCCAAUGUGCCAUAAACAUCGUACACAUCAUCGAUGAUGGUUAUCAGCGAGGUCACUUUGGUCAGCCGCUUCCGACAAUUAGCGAGCGUAGGUUCGUCUGCCACUCCAACCGCCCAAAAGAAGCACUCCAUUAGUCUAUCCCUCACGAAGUUCAAAUUUCUCGCGAGGGUAACAUCAUUCCACCAUCUGCGAUAACACAGUAUAAUUUUAGAGUAUGCAUUGCAAUUUUUCGAAUACAUGGGAAGCUUUCCAAAGUCUAAUUUCCUUAUAGCCCAUGAAUUCCAUCGUCCAUUGUAGGAUUUAUCCUCAUGAGUUUGCAGACUAGCCUUGACAUUUCCUGAAGAUCUCUUUGGAGGAUUGAUUGUGACGUGUUGAAGUUCGUCACGGCAAAUUCGGGGAUUCGAUGAUUGGUGUAUCCGCAUCUUCUGUAAGCUUCAAUGGACUGUCGAGCUUCUAGCAUUGGCAUUCUACAGUGCAGAGGCAGUUCUAAUUCAUGUUUCCCUUGGUCUUUGAGAUCUUUGUCGACGUUGCAAUUAAGGUUUCUGAGAUGCUCGAUGGCGAAUGAUCUAGCCUCUUGCAAGCUAUCUUCUUCUUCAAAGGCCAAAUGGGAGGCUUCGUGUAGACUCAGCAUUCCUUGGACAUCACCACCAAGGGUCUUCAUAAAACUGCCACUUUUGUCCAUGAAAAUCUUAAAAUCAUCUGUUUAUUCGAAGCCGAGAUUAGUCCAUCUGAUUAGAGAAAGAUACUAUGCAGUUUUUUAAUUUAUAAUGCCCUUCGCUCAUGAGAGGAUAUGGUGAGGUCCUAUGCUGAGAGCUAUUAUUGAUGUCACUACAAGUGUUUAGCACGUCAUAGUAAUUACAGAGUACUCGUCUGUUUCAUAUAAUCAUUUCGAACCUUCGUGCACAAAAGCUACGCUAGUAUAACAAAAAUUGCAAAAGCAUCUUGAUUUCACUUUUGAGAAUUAUCUUCUAAUUGCUUUUGUUUCAUCAGAUUUACGAUGAAGUACCUUGAGAAACUUCAAAGCCGUGCUGUCUAAAAAUCCGAAAGCUUAGAGCUGUGCCCUGCAGAGACUUCUGCCGGCUCUUAUUGACCGCAUCAUUAGAGAGACAUCUGCGAAGAGCUCUCGAAAUGUCUUCCUCAAAAUGUUGGCCGAGUCCUAAGCGUUGAAAGUCAUCAACCAGAGCAAAUAUGGUCAUGGGUUCAGCUUUUUCGUCAUUGAGAGCACCUCUCACUUCUUCCAACAUUUGUGCCUUUUCUCUCUGUAGCCUGACCUACGUUAGAAGAAAGUAAAAUCCACAGCUUAGUGUUUGAACCCUAGAAAAAAGCAAAGAAAGAUACUUCAAAGGAAGAGGUGGAAAUCUUCUAUCUGGUGGUCCCAUUUAUGUCACAUGCGUGGGAUUAUGACUAUGAUUGAUUUUUUAAAGUGAAAUAGUGUUGUGUAAAAGACCUCAAGAUACACGAGGAUAGAGGAUUUCAUCUUUUCAUGGCAUGCCGUAGAUUUUGAUAGGUUUAUAUUGCUAACUAAUCACAAAUGACAAUGGUUCAUGACUCUCUAUUUUUGUUUGGACAAGACUUCCUACAUACUUGUUGGAAGAAAACCUCUUCCAAUCAGUGUUCGGGUUGGUGGAUACAAGUACGGCAAGUGCCAUAAUUUUUGUAUGACGCUCACUUAAAUACCACAAUUUCUUUUUCAAAUGUCUAAAUGCUAUAACUUAUAUACGACACUAAUUUGAGUAUCAUAACUUCUUUUCCCAAUCACUUAAAGCACCAUAUAAUACUUAAAUAUCAUAACCUUUUUAAAAAGUCUUCACUGCAAGUGAUAUGUCAUGUUAGAUUUCCAAGAUUUGGGUAAGCAUUUAUAAAACGUUUUAGCACUUAAGUGAUAGAUUAAAAGUUACAACACUCAAGUAAACAUUUUUUAGAAGUAAUAGCACUCAAGUGAUCGAAAAAAAAAAAUUAGGACACUUAGUGAAUGCCGUAACGAAAGUUAUGAUAGUUGUGGUGUUCCUUACCUUAAGUUAUAUCCAUAUUUCGAUGAUGGCCUUCCGAUUCAUCCAUCAAAAACAUGAUUAGAGGAAACUAGUUAUGGAGGAAAAUAUGACCUAUCAAUAAAAGUGAUAAAUCUUGAUUAUGAGACCACAUGAAUUAAUAAUUAUGAAGAUGGGGAAAUCAUUAAAUCAAAUGUCCUACUCAUCAAGUUAGUACAGUGAUGCCUAACAUAAAGUUACAGCACAACCGAGUUUGAUCAACAGUUUGUACAACCAAGCGUGUCACUCUUACAAGUUUUUCUGCCGUCUAUGCUCAUAUCAUCUAGACAGACUCUAGUUACGCCUCUCCAUGAUUCGUGUACUAUCAAGGUUUCAAACUAUGGCACACCUUAACGUCUCUUAGACCUAACACAUAAUUGCCCGAGCUUGUGAGUUGUAACACCAACAAUAGAUUUUUCUUCAUUCCCAUCAUGCGAUACGCAUUUUGCAACUCAACCUGAUAUGAACUAAAUCGGGAUGUUAUCACCGUUCGAUUGACAUAGGUAUUCAGCAACCUUGAGUUGUCUAUGGUGACAACUACUCAUCCAUCAAUGUACUUAAACAUGUUUGAUAGCUUGCCUUGAUCUCUAGUCAUAUCGCUUGAGCACCCCGAAUCAACUGCCAAAUCAUUAUUAUAAUUGAUUAAUUUAUCACUUAUAGUGAAAAGGGUCGUCACAUCUUUUGACUAAAUGAUAGAGAAGAAUGCAAGCUAUUUUUAUUCGUCACUGCCAGGGACACAUGGAAAGCCCAGUCCUCUUCACCAUUAUUUUCCUCAGACGUUGCAAUGUUUCCUUCUAUUCUUUUCAAUUGAAAAUCCCUAGCAAAGUGACCUUUUUUUCUCACAAAUAUAGUAGUGAUUGUCUCAUGUUUGGCUGUUUUUACCUUCAUUCUCAUUAUCUUUAUACUGAUCCCAACGAGCUCCCCCUAGCUGAGCACUUGUCCCUUGUGGUCACCUUUGUCAAUCUUAAUAGGAGUUUUUUUUUCUCAAUUUACCAUUUUUAGUGCGAGCACCAUUUCUCAUCUAACUCUUAAACCCUCUUUUAUUACUAAAGAGGGUAGUCUUAUCAUCAUUUACUAAGACCUUAGACAUCUAUUUUUCUAAAGCCUCUUGGUUGGCCAAAAUAUUCUCCAAAUCGGUCAAAGUUGGAUCUUUAGCCCAUCCACAAGGGGCUGUAACAAUAGUGUUUUACUCUAGUCAUACCCCGUGAAUGGUGAUUCUUUUUAUCCUAGUCUCAAAGAUGGUACUUUGAGGAUCUAACUUUGAAUUUUCUUCCAAAAAUAUUUGACUUAGGAAAAAUAUCAUAUCCUAUUGCUAGAUCAAUAGUAACUUGUUUUUCAAUUAUUCUAACUCGCUAUCAUUUAUCCUCACAAACAAUGCCACCAAAGCAUCCUAUGCUGUCUUCAAAGGCUUUGCACUCUUGAUAUGCUGCAAUAAUUCAUCUUCUACUGUGACCGCAAGACUUUGAGAGUCUUACCAUCAUUGAUCUUCCACUUCCUCCACUCUUCAUCAUUAGUGGAUGGUUUGGUAUUGUCAUUGCUAACGAUAUGCCACAAAUCUUGAUCUAUUAGGUAAAACUGCACAUAAUUAUUAGAAUUAUUGUAAUUGAAGUUGUUGAGCUUCUUUAUUGCCAUUCACCAAACUCAGGACAUUCGCUGACUUCGUUAAAAUGCCCAACAAUAUACCAAGUGAGCUUCGUCCCAAUUUAACCAAUCACAGUCCCUGACUAUACACUACCAAAACUCUAUUAUGGUUAAUGUCAUCGGGUCCAUUGGCCUAUCCCUCAUGAAGUUCAACUUGUUUGCAAGGCUAACAUUAUUUUGCCAUCUACAAUAAUCUAAGAGUAAAACUUUAUGCCUCACAAAUUUCCACUUGCCUUUGGUGGUCUGGAUCCAGAGAAGGGAAAAAUGACUAAAAGUGUCCUUAAUCAAUAGCAAUUGUUUCAAUUUAGUCCUAUAUCUUCUUCUUCUUCUUUUUUUAGCAAUUUUAGUCAUAAACCUUUUAUGAUUAUAUCAAUUUAGUCAUUCGAUCAAAUUUGGCCGGUCGAUAGACAAUUUUUUAAUAAUAUUUUAUUUUUUGAAUUUUUUUACUUAAUUUUUGUAUUUUUUUCUUUUCUUUUUCCUUUAUUUUCUCUCUCUUAUUUUUUCUUCAUCCCUUCUUCUUUCUCUUGCUUAGACGACGAGCCAAAAAGGGGAGGGCCAAUCAUUGUCAGUGGCGAGCCCCCAUCGGAUCUAAAAAGGGGAGAGCCAAUGGAUCGGCGAGGUCGGCCUCGCAUGGUUUGGCUAUCUCGAAACUUCCAAGAAAUCCUUCACACAAUGAAGGAGACAAAUCAAAGUGCAUCAGCGACAAUGUCAUGGAGAUCAUCUUCUUCUCCUUCAAUCAAUGGUGGGUGAUCCUCCCUUCGACGCACGCAUUGGCUGAUGGGCUCUCUCUCUUUUUCUCUAAUUUGCUAGCGGUUAGGGGUGUCAUCCGUUGCCUAGAUCCAAUGAGGCUAGGUGAGGGUGCCUCAUUGGAUUUAGGUGAGGUUGGCUUCGUUGUCGCUAAGUGAGGCAAGCCCACACCAAAUCCAGCUAGAGCUCGCCACUGGUCGGCAAUCGGCCCUCCCCUCUGGCUAGUCAUUGGAGCAAGAGGAAGAAGAUGGGAGGAGGAAGAAAAAAAAGAAAAGAAAAAAAUUCACAAAAAAUAUAUAAAAAAAUACAAAGAAAUUCAAAACAAAUAAAAUAGUAUUAAAAAAUUGUCCGCCAACGCCAGCCGGCGUCCACGCCAGCGUUAGCCAGCCAAAUUUAAUAUGAUGGACUGAAUUGGCAUAAUUAUAAAAAAAAAUUAAAAAUGAAUUAUCAAAAAAUAAGAUUUAUAACUGAAUUGAAAAAAAAAGAAGGAUUUUUUUGGUAAUUUUCCCUCCAUAUAAGAUAACAAAUUAUUCUAUCCGGUGUUUGGUAAUGUCCUCCUUUAGAUCGGAUAGUAUGUGGUUGUGGGUUUAGCAGUUUCAUCAUCAAAGGCACCUCUGACUUUAUCUUCCAACAUCUGUGCCUUUUCUUUCUAUAGCUCAAUCUACAUUAGAAUUAAGAAAAUCCAGAGCUUAGUUUUUGAAUCCUAGGAAAAAGCCAAGAGAGAUCAUUCAAAGGAAGAGGUCGAAAUCUUCAAUCUCAGGGUCCUAUUUAUGUCACAUGCAUGGGAUUAUGAUAUCUAUUAUUGACUUUUCAUGUGAUGCUAGGGAUUUUGUUUGGUUUAUAUCGCUAGCUAAUCACAAAUAAUAAAGUAUCGUACCUUUCUCUAUUCUCGUUAGGACAGAGAAAACCUCCUCCAUUCAAUAUUCAGGCCGGUGGAUACAAACAAGAACAUCACCAUAUUUAUGUGUAGUCAUAUCUACAUUCCGAUGAUGGCCCGAACUUCCAAUUCAUCCAUCAAAAACUUGAUAAGAGGAAACUAAGUACGGAGGAAAAUAUGACCCAUUAAUAAAAGUGAUAAAAUAUUGAUUAUGAGAACACGUGAAUUAGACAAGGGACGACAAUCUUCCUUGACCCCUUCAGAGUGUCCCGAGUCAAUGUCAUUUUGCUAUUGUGGAAAGAUCUUCCACAGCAUUGACAUCUUGUCUAAAAACAUGCAAAUCAGAAGCCGAAACUUCAGCAAUUGAGAUGUGUGGAUAUGGCUUUUCCAAAUAAAUCGAUGUCUAUGAAUAGCUCCAAUUCAUCCAACGUGACAUAAAUAUCGUGCACAUCAUCAAUGACGGUUAUAGACUUGUUCACCUUGGUUAGCCCUUGACAGAAGUUGGGGAAGGGCUCAUCUAUCACCGCGGGCCAUUGGCUUAUCCCUCACGAAAUUCAACUUGUUUGCAAGGCUAACAUUAUUCCGCCAUCUACAAUAAUUUAGUAAAAUUUUAGAGCUGCCUCACAAUUUUCCACUUGCCUUUGGUAGUCCGAAUAUAAGUCCAGACGAGGGGAAAAUUGCCAAAAGAGUCCUUAUCCAAUUGCAAUUUUUCCAAUUUAGUCCUAAACUUUGUUUUUUUUUUUAGCCAUUUCAAUCCUAAACAUUUUUGCAAUUGUGCCGAUUCAAUCCAUCCAACCAAAUUUGGUCGGCCAACAAACAAUUUUUUGAUAAUAUAUAUUUUUUAAUUUGUUAAUUUUUUAUUCUUUUAUUAUUUUUCAUUUUUUUCUCUCUUAUUUUUCCUUCCUCCCUUCUUCCUCUUGCUCCAACGACCAGCCAAAAGGGAGGGCUGGUCACCGGCCAAUGGCGAGCCCCCGUCGGACUUGGCAAGAGCUUGCCUUGCCCAAUGACAGCGAGGCUGACCUCACCCACAUCUGACAAGGCAAGUCCUAGCCAGUGGAUCGAUGAGGUCGGCCUCACAUGGUUUGGCUAUCUCAAAACUUCCAAGAAAUCCUUUGCAUGACUAAAGAGACAAAUCGAAGUGCAUCGACGACGAUGUCAUAGAGACUGUCUUCUUCUCCUCCAAUUAAUGGUGGGUGAUCCUCCCUUCGACGUGCACACCAACGGGCUCUCUCUCUCGUUUUCUCUUAUUUGCGGGCCAUCAGGGGUGUCGUCCAUGGCCCAGAUCUGAUGAGGCACCCUCGCCCAACCUCUGGCGAGAGCUCUCCUCGCCAAAUCUAGGUGAGGUUGACCUCAUUGUCACUAGGCGAGGCAAGCCCACACCAAAUCAAGUGGGAGCUCGCCUCUAGCUGGCAAUCGGCCCUCCCCUCUAGCUAGUCACCGAAGCAAGAAGAUGGAGGAGGGAGGAAGAAAAAAAGAGAGAAUAAAUUCACAAAAAAAAUAUUAAAAAAUUAUCCAUCAGGACCGGCCGCACGUUCACAUCAAUGUUGGCAAACCAAAAUUAGCCCAAUGAACUGAUUUGGCAUAAUUACAAAAUGUUUAGGAUUGAAUUAUCAAAAAACUAAGGUUUAGAAUGAAUUGAAAAAAAUUUAAAACUUUUUUGGUAAUUUUCAUUUCAUAUAAGAUAACAAAUUAUUCUAUCUAGUGUCUAGUGACGUCCUCCUCUAGAUCAGAUAAUCUUGGAGUGAAUGUGGUUAUGGGUUCAGCAGUUUCAUCAUCAAGGGCACCUCCAACUUUCUUUUCCAACAUAUAUGCAUUUUCUCUCUAUAGCUCAAUCUACAUUAGAAUUUAAAAAAAAAAAAAUCCAUAGCUUAGUUUUUGAAUCCUAGGAAAAAGCCAAGGAAGAUAAUUCAAAGGAAGAGGUCGAAAUUUUCAAUCUUAGGGUCCUAUCUAUGUCGCGUGUGUGGGAUUAUGAUAUCUAUGAUUGACUUUUCAUGUGAUGCUGGGGAUUUUGUUUGGUUUAUAUCGCUGGCUAAUCACAAAUAAUAAAGGAUUGUACUUUUCUCUAUUCUCGUUAGGACAAAACUUCCUCCAUCCUUGUUGGGAGAAAACCUCCUCCGUUCAAUAUUUAGGCUGAUGGAUACAAGCAAGAGCAUCACCAUAUUUAUGUGUAGUCAUAUCUACAUUCCGGUGAUGGCCACAACUUCCAAUACAUCCAUCAAAAACAUGAUAAAGAGAAACUAGGUAUGGAGGAAAAUAUGAUCUAUUAAUAAAAGUGAUAAAAUAUUGAUUAUGAGACCACAUGAAUAAGCAAUCACGGCAAUGGAGAGAUUGUUAAAUCGAAUUUCUUAGUUAUCAAGUUAUUAGAGUGAUGCCUACCAUAAAGGUAUGGCACUACCAAGUUUGAUCGACGGUUUGUUCUAGGAUAAUAAUCCUCUCUAAUUCCAAAAUUUCAUCUGUCUUCUUGAGAAAGUGAGGAUAAUUGAAUUCUCAAUUAGACUAAUUCCCCACUGAUACACCAAACCGCCCUGUCCAUCCAUGUACCUUUGGUAAUGCCCCACCCACAAUCGGCAGAUGUAGAAUCCAGGCUAGUUUGAGCGGAAGACGCUAUGGUUCGAAUACAAGAUGUCUUGACUCCGAACCCAGCGUUUAACCAUUCGUCUAAACAUUAGAGUUAAGUUCGUGCUAAAUUGCGAAAAGCAUCUUUCUUUCUUUUAACUUUAGCAUAAAUAUCUCGUAUAACAAGAGGGUGCUUUACCGAGCAACGGGAUUGGCGACCUCCGUCGGCCACAAGAGACUGAAGGUAAUUGUAAGUCCAGACGGUUGGCUGAUAAUUGGCCCAUCUCCGUCCUCCUUGAGUAUCAGAGACUUGCGUGCUCACUGAACAAUGGACUCGACCAUUAGCCGUCAGAGAGGAAAGCUUCAGAAGCUAAGGCGUGGCCAAAAAGAUGGAGUGCCAUUAAUCGCGCGAACUGGAUUAAAGCCAAUCUUACAUAAGGUGAAAACUCAGCGAUCUGUGCACGCCCUCGUUAGCGUGAACAGUCCCCUAUUUAUACAUAAUUUUUUUUUUAUUUACUAAAACAUGACGAUGGAAUACGCUGAUAGAUUUUCGACUUCAAGCGAUCAUCGCUGUUGUCGAGGUGGACCACAUCCUCUCGUCCUAUCGUUUUUCUAUGUAAGCUCGAUCACACGUUGCUGGAUCGUCUCUCGUCAAAUCUCUGUCUGUGUUUGCUCAACCAUACGAUGCUGUAAUCGUCUCUCGUUCACUCGUUGGUCUCUUUGAUUGGCGCGCGUGAAGUUGUGUCGUUCUUGUGGUAUCAUAUCGACAGUCCCUUCGCCUGGGCUUGCGGGCCUUAUCGCAGGGAUUAGAUUUUUUGAAAGAUCGGGACUCUUGACGGCCUUGCACCCAUCCAUUUUGCCGACCGUCCUCGUUAUUCCCAUGAAUCUCUUAACAAGCUACGCAAAUCACGUGGAUUUCCUUUUCGGGUUCAUAUGAAAUCAGUGCGGUCUUAACUUACUUCGAUUGUGCCGAAUAAAAUCCCCAUGACACACCAAGAGGCUCCCACUGCUGAUACUAGAUAAGUCUGAAACAAGUAUUUUUCAGAUUCAAACUCGACACAUGGAAGUGGGGUCGCAAUGACACCUCAAAACACGCCUCCAUUAAUGGGAAAAUUGAACCCUCACCUUCCAGAUCUCAGCCCCGACCAACUAGAUUACGCUUUGAUGCAAUAAUUAAUAUCGAUUGAUUGAGCGCGUGAUAUCGAGUUAAUAUGCUACAUUAUGUAGCUCUCGCUAUGAAAGACUUCUGUACGCUAUUUUGAAAAUGUGAACUCCGGGGAAAGAGGAGAUGGCCUUCGCUUCGCUGAUGAGCAAACAGGAGUAACUCUUAACGUUCGUUGAGUUCAAAAGAGUCCAUUUUUACGUGUGAAGAUCAGUUUAUCAAGGGCCAUAGACGGGGAGCCGAUCGCUUUGAUAGGUAAGCUUUUGAUUUCACUCGCCAGCAUUCAAUCUUCCCCCCCUUUUGUACUCCAAAGCACCCACCUCAUUAUUCAUCGUCCAAACAAUCUGUAUGGACAAUUUUCUUGGUUUGUUGGUCGCUUGAUAAAGUAAAUCAGGCAUUAUCACUCUUUCGAGUCUUAUCCACGUAUGACAUUUGUGUUGACAUCAUGCAGACAAACUCUAGGCAACGCCCCUUCAUAAUUGGGGUACUAGUGGGGUUUCGAAUUGUGGCACACCUCAACAUCUCUUGGACUGUACAUUUAUGUUCCGCUAAAAUUAAUCUCGCGAUGAAAAUUUUUUCGCCGAAAGUCAUUCUUCAAUUUUUUAGUAGAGGAGACAGGUUUCAUGAUGAUUUCAGAUAGAAAAUAUCAUAGGUAGACAAGAAACUACAAACCAAACAUAGGAAUUUUAUUGACGAAAACGCUUGAAAAAUACAAUCACUUCAACCCAACCAAAUGUAAACAAACCAUACCGGAAUUUAAUCAACAAUGCGACACUUGGGAUAAAAAUACACAUCGAAAUUUAAUCGACAACACAGAUCUGGAAAUUAUAGCUAAGAAACUCACUGGAAUUUAAUUGACAUGAGUCUGAAAUUGAGAGUACAAUAUAGAAACUCCUUCAACGAGGGGGAGAAAAUGUAAUUUAGGUCAAAAUUCCUCCAUCCAAACCUGGCUCGAGAGAAACUGGAUCAAUUAUUAGUGAGUGCACACGGUUCAUCGAUAGAUCGUCUGGAGCUCCAACUGCAUCUCCGUCAUGGUACAUACAAUGCGCCAUCCGUGCAAGGUUGAAAGCCAUCCGCACAAAAGAUUGAUUGAAGGUUGAGUCAUUGACUAGAUAUUUGUUCAGCUUCUUCCACGUUGUGUCGAUCAUUUUUAUAACGUAUUUGCGAGCCUCUAACUCGGAGACCCCCAUUUCUUGCAUGUAACACCAGAUUGAAUUUGUCGUCUCUCCCCUCUCGAGCUCAGCCUAUUAGGAACAUGAUUUUGCCAAUUGUUUUAGAAGAAGCUGCCCGAGAAAUUAUGAAUAUGUGGACAGAAAUUUCAGUUGUUUGGCUACAGAAAAAUGUGCCUGUAUAAGGUUUAUUGUGACAUGAAAAAAAAAAAAAAAAAAGGACUGAAGAGAGGUGUGCCUAUAUAAGAUUUAUUGUGACACGAAAAACAAAAAAAAGGGACUGAAGAGAGCUGAAAACAUGCAUACCGAUGAGGUAGCGAGAUCAUUGGUAAGACGGAAAAUCAUGGAUGGCAACCGCAAGAGAUCAUGGUAAUGUUCUAGUGAUUCAAGUUCCUCCUUUCUCAUGCUUGGACUGGAUAAAAAGUAGGCAUGAAUCAACAUGACAUGCCCUGAUACUGAAAUCCACCCGUUGUUCAAGUACUCUUCUACUCGUGGGGUGAUCUUGUUGUGACUCCAUUUAGCUUCUUGCAAGAAGGCUUCACACGCAUCAUACCACUACGAAACAGUAGAAACACCAAAUUUCCGUAUCACGUAGGGGAUUCCUAAAACAAAGAUGCAUGCAUGGUCGAUUAAUAAAAUGUCGAGUCAUGUACCGCUUUUGUCAAAUACGGGAUGACAUUUUCCCGAGUCUCCUUGAGAGUGUCGUAAGCCAGUUCGUUCACGCAGUUGUAGAGAGCUAAGAAGCACAACUUCAUAUAGCCAGGAAGAUCUUCCACAGCAUUAAUGUCCCAUCUGAAACCACGAAUGAUAAGAUGACAAUUAUGAAAUGCGUGAAUAUUAUUAUCUCCAGGCAUGUCGAUGAGAGAUGGACCUGCGAACAGCGUCUGUGAAUAACUCCAGCUCGUCCAAUGUGCCAUAAAUAUCGUACACAUCGUCGAUGAUGACGUUCAGUAUGUUCGCUUUGGUCAGCCCUUUCCGACAAUUACUGAGUGGAUGCUCAUCUGCCACUGCGACCGCUGCAAAGAAGCACUCCACCAGUCUAUCCCUCGCGAAGUUUAGUUCGUUUGCGAGGCCAACAUUAUCCCACCAUCUGCAGUAAAUCAAAGAGUAAAAUUUUUAGAGUAUGCAUUGCUAUUUUCUCGAACACAUGUCAAGCUUUCUAAAGUCUAAUUACCUUACAGUCCAACAAUUCCACCGUCAAUCAUAGGGUCUAUCCUUGUUAUUUUGCAUACUAACCUGAACACUUCCUGGAGAUCUCCUUGGAGGGUUGAUUGCAACGUGUUGAAGUUCGUAGCAGAAAAUUUGAGGAUUCGAUGACUCGUGUAUCUACGUCUGCUAUAAGCUUCGAUGAACCUUCGAGCUUCUAACAGCGACAUUCUACGGUGCAGGGGCCAUUCCAAUUCAUGGUUCACUUCGCCCUGAAGAUCUUUGUUGAUGUCGCGAUUAUGGUUUUUGAGAUGCUCGAUGGUGAAUGUUUCAGCCUCGUGCAAAAUAUCUUCAUCUUCAAAGGCCAAACGGGAGGCUUCGUAUAGGCUUAGCACACCUUGGACAUCAUUCCCAAGGGUCUUCAUAAAACUGCCACUUUCGUCCAUGAAAAUCUUAAAAACAUCUGUUUCCUCGUCGCCAAGAUUAGUAUAUUUGAUUAGAGAAAAAUACUAUCGAGUUGUUCCUUAGUGAAUUAUCUCUCCUCUAAAAUAUAGUCAUGUGAAGAUACGGUGAGGUCCUAUGCUGUGAAUGUCACUACAGCUAGCGAUUGGCAUAAAAUACUUUAAUCUAUCAUAGCGAUUGCAAAAUAAUUAUAUAUUUCUUAUAAUCAUCUUGAACCUUUACGUACAAAGUAAGUAUAACAAAAAUUUCAAAAGCAUCUUGAUCCCACUUUUGAGAAUUAUUUUCUAAUCGCUUUAUAUCAUCGGAUUUAGGGUCAAGUACCUGGAGAAACUUCAAAGCCAUGCUGUCUAAGAAUUCUAAAGCUGAGAGCUGUGCCAUGCAGAGACUUCUGUAGGCCUUUAUAGACCACAUCUGGAGAGAGACAUCGGUGAAGAGCUCGCGAAAUGUCUUCCUCAAAGUGACGUCCCAAUCCUAGGCGUUGAAUGUCGUCAACCAGAGCAAAUAUGGUAAUGAGCUCAGCAUUUUCGUCGUGAAGAGCACCUCUGACUUCUUCCACCAUUUGUGCCUUUUCUCUCUGCAGCUCAACCUACAUGAGGAUAGAGGGAUUCCCCCUUUUCAUGGCACGCUCUAGAUUUUGUUUUUCUCCAUUCUUGUUUGUAAACAAUUCUCUCUAUCCUUGUUCGGAGAGAGAACCUUCUCUAACCAAUAUGUUGAUUGGUGAAUAUAAACAUGGACAUCAGCCAUCUGGCAAUUCAUCCAUAAAGACAUGGUCGGAGGAAACUAGGGAUGGAAGAUAGUGUAAACUCUUAAUAAAAGUGAUAAAUCUUAACAAUGACACCUCAUGACUUGACAACUACGAUGAUGUAGAGAUCAUUAAAUCGAAUUUCAUAACCACCUUGUUGUUAGAGUGGAUCCUAACAUAACAGUACAACACAGCCCAAUUGGAUCGAUAGUUUUUUCUAGGAUAAUUGUAUUCUUAAUGCUGCAAGUUCAUUUAUGUUUCAUUGAGAACAUGAGGAUAAUCAAUUAUUGAAGUAGACUAAUUCCCCCCCUCCCCCAAUGCACUGAAUUACUCUAUCUACUUGUAUCCGAAAACCACAAGCAGCCAAUAUAAGAUUCCUAGAUUACUUCGAGUGAAAGAUGUUGUAAUUCAAACAUAUGAUAUGUCAUAUUUCAACCAAGCAUUUAUUCACUUGAAUAAUCAUUAGAAUUAAGUUCGAACUACGUUGCAAAAUUCCUCUUUACCUUUUUUUAAACUAUAGCAUAAAAAUCUCUUAUAGACAACAAAUGGCUAGAGUGUGGAUUUUUACCACGCGACGAGAUUGACGACCUUCAUCAAUCACGAGGGACGGAAGGUCAUUGUGAGUCCAGACAGAUGGCUGAUAAUUGGCGGAUCUUCGUCCUCCUUGAGGAAAAGCAGCUUUGGUGCUUGUCGAACGAGGGACUUGACGGCUAAGGGUGCGCAUGGAUUUAUUUCUGUGCUUUUUUUGUUCCUGGGAACAGAAACAAAAAAAAGUGUUUCUGUUCCGGGGAACAAUUUUUGAACAAAAGAACGCGUUUGGUAACGUUUGGUCCGGGAAUAAAAAAUGAACAGAAACACGUUUGGUUAAAUUUUAUUAUUUUUUUGUUUCUUUUAAUUUUUUAAACAUUUAUUAUUAUUUUUUAUUUUUUCCUUUCUUUUUAUUUUUUCUUUUUUUCGGCCGGUCACCGGCCUCCGGCGACCGGCCGACGGGGCCGGCAGCCUCGCCCAGCCACGGCGAGGCUCGCCGGCCCACGGCGAGGCCGAGCCUGGCCGUGGUUGGGCGAGGCUGCCGGCCCCGUCGGCCGGUCGCCGGAGGCCGGUGACCGGCCGAAAAAAGAAAAAUAGAAAGAAAGGAAAAAUAAAAAAUAAUAAUAAAUGUUUAAAAAUUAAAAGAAACAAAAAAAUAAUAAAAUUUNNNNNNNNNNNNNNNNNNNNNNNNNNNNNNNNNNNNNNNNNNNNNNNNNNNNNNNNNNNNNNNNNNNNNNNNNNNNNNNNNNNNNNNNNNNNNNNNNNNNNNNNNNNNNNNNNNNNNNNNNNNNNNNNNNNNNNNNNNNNNNNNNNNNNNNNNNNNNNNNNNNNNNNNNNNNNNNNNNNNNNNNNNNNNNNNNNNNNNNNNNNNNNNNNNNNNNNNNNNNNNNNNNNNNNNNNNNNNNNNNNNNNNNNNNNNNNNNNNNNNNNNNNNNNNNNNNNNNNNNNNNNNNNNNNNNNNNNNNNNNNNNNNNNNNNNNNNNNNNNNNNNNNNNNNNNNNNNNNNNNNNNNNNNNNNNNNNNNNNNNNNNNNNNNNNNNNNNNNNNNNNNNNNNNNNNNNNNNNNNNNNNNNNNNNNNNNNNNNNNNNNNNNNNNNNNNNNNNNNNNNNNNNNNNNNNNNNNNNNNNNNNNNNNNNNNNNNNNNNNNNNNNNNNNNNNNNNNNNNNNNNNNNNNNNNNNNNNNNNNNNNNNNNNNNNNNNNNNNNNNNNNNNNNNNNNNNNNNNNNNNNNNNNNNNNNNNNNNNNNNNNNNNNNNNNNNNNNNNNNNNNNNNNNNNNNNNNNNNNNNNNNNNNNNNNNNNNNNNNNNNNNNNNNNNNNNNNNNNNNNNNNNNNNNNNNNNNNNNNNNNNNNNNNNNNNNNNNNNNNNNNNNNNNNNNNNNNNNNNNNNNNNNNNNNNNNNNNNNNNNNNNNNNNNNNNNNNNNNNNNNNNNNNNNNNNNNNNNNNNNNNNNNNNNNNNNNNNNNNNNNNNNNNNNNNNNNNNNNNNNNNNNNNNNNNNNNNNNNNNNNNNNNNNNNNNNNNNNNNNNNNNNNNNNNNNNNNNNNNNNNNNNNNNNNNNNNNNNNNNNNNNNNNNNNNNNNNNNNNNNNNNNNNNNNNNNNNNNNNNNNNNNNNNNNNNNNNNNNNNNNNNNNNNNNNNNNNNNNNNNNNNNNNNNNNNNNNNNNNNNNNNNNNNNNNNNNNNNNNNNNNNNNNNNNNNNNNNNNNNNNNNNNNNNNNNNNNNNNNNNNNNNNNNNNNNNNNNNNNNNNNNNNNNNNNNNNNNNNNNNNNNNNNNNNNNNNNNNNNNNNNNNNNNNNNNNNNNNNNNNNNNNNNNNNNNNNNNNNNNNNNNNNNNNNNNNNNNNNNNNNNNNNNNNNNNNNNNNNNNNNNNNNNNNNNNNNNNNNNNNNNNNNNNNNNNNNNNNNNNNNNNNNNNNNNNNNNNNNNNNNNNNNNNNNNNNNNNNNNNNNNNNNNNNNNNNNNNNNNNNNNNNNNNNNNNNNNNNNNNNNNNNNNNNNNNNNNNNNNNNNNNNNNNNNNNNNNNNNNNNNNNNNNNNNNNNNNNNNNNNNNNNNNNNNNNNNNNNNNNNNNNNNNNNNNNNNNNNNNNNNNNNNNNNNNNNNNNNNNNNNNNNNNNNNNNNNNNNNNNNNNNNNNNNNNNNNNNNNNNNNNNNNNNNNNNNNNNNNNNNNNNNNNNNNNNNNNNNNNNNNNNNNNNNNNNNNNNNNNNNNNNNNNNNNNNNNNNNNNNNNNNNNNNNNNNNNNNNNNNNNNNNNNNNNNNNNNNNNNNNNNNNNNNNNNNNNNNNNNNNNNNNNNNNNNNNNNNNNNNNNNNNNNNNNNNNNNNNNNNNNNNNNNNNNNNNNNNNNNNNNNNNNNNNNNNNNNNNNNNNNNNNNNNNNNNNNNNNNNNNNNNNNNNNNNNNNNNNNNNNNNNNNNNNNNNNNNNNNNNNNNNNNNNNNNNNNNNNNNNNNNNNNNNNNNNNNNNNNNNNNNNNNNNNNNNNNNNNNNNNNNNNNNNNNNNNNNNNNNNNNNNNNNNNNNNNNNNNNNNNNNNNNNNNNNNNNNNNNNNNNNNNNNNNNNNNNNNNNNNNNNNNNNNNNNNNNNNNNNNNNNNNNNNNNNNNNNNNNNNNNNNNNNNNNNNNNNNNNNNNNNNNNNNNNNNNNNNNNNNNNNNNNNNNNNNNNNNNNNNNNNNNNNNNNNNNNNNNNNNNNNNNNNNNNNNNNNNNNNNNNNNNNNNNNNNNNNNNNNNNNNNNNNNNNNNNNNNNNNNNNNNNNNNNNNNNNNNNNNNNNNNNNNNNNNNNNNNNNNNNNNNNNNNNNNNNNNNNNNNNNNNNNNNNNNNNNNNNNNNNNNNNNNNNNNNNNNNNNNNNNNNNNNNNNNNNNNNNNNNNNNNNNNNNNNNNNNNNNNNNNNNNNNNNCGGGCACACUUUCCGUACAAAAGUGUGCCGGAAACGUUUCUUAGAAACGUUUCCAUGCACGCCCUAAUCUUCUCGGAGAAAACACUUGGAAGAGAGAAAAGGUGAAGUGCCAUCGUUGCUUGUAAGUGAAGAAGUUAGUGCUCGAAAGUCGGUGGCUCGUCUGAUUGGGUAUCAGUCCAACAUAUAUAGAAUAUCGGACCGAUGAAAGUCUUGAGUCUUUCAUAAAUUAAUAUAACAAUCAUUAUGGUUGCUCCUAAAUUAAUAAACUAAUUAAUUUGGCAUACUUAAUCGUUUAUAACCUAAUAAUUCAAUUGCCACAUGAUGGAAAUUCACAAAACCGGGGGCUUUUUUGGCCUUAACCAGCAACUCAUCAAAACCAUGGAAACAUGUUUAGAACGAGUACGAAAGUUUUCUGAUUUUUUUGGGUCACAUGUUCAAGGAUUGAUGCACUGCUGUUCUCAGAAAGAUUCCUGGGCCGGUUAUCGACAAAUCGAAGUGAGUUGAUGUUUUCUCUAGGGUUAUCUUCCUCAAUUAUAUAAAGGUAAAAGUCAACAAAAACUCAAAUUAUACUAACACGUUUACCCUCAAAAUGAUGAAAGGGAGACGACGGCAACUGUUCCUCAUUCAAAUGCUCAAAAGGAUGAUUUUAGUUUUGAUCAAAUCUCAUCUGUUAAAAAGAAGUGAUUUUGGUUUUGAUAGUGAUCACAUACCUAUAAAUCACCACAGGCCUUUCUAUAAACUUCUAACUAUCAAACAUAUAUCUAUUAUUGUUUGAGGGAGGUACCAUGUCAGAGUCCAACUCCUAAGAAUACCAACCCUUAAUGAAGAUCUUUCUUUUCUUUUCUAGGCGUGUCUGAAGAAAGAAGAUCAACUGGAAGAUCAUACUUUUAAUAAAUAACACUUCCACGCUAACGGUGUAUGUGGUGUUUCUCCAUUUUUGGCUACCUUAAACAACUCGCCCCGAACCCUACCACUCUCUUCUAUGAAACUUCCUCUUUAAGUCCCAUGCGGUGCACAGACCUCGAGCUGAAUUAUUGACAUACUUGUUUUGGAGAUGUAUGGCGUAAAUUUUACAAAGUCAGCUCUUUCAUUUAUCAACCAAACGAAAAAAAAUUUACCAGGAACAACUAAAUAUUUAUGAUUAAAUUGCACAGAAAAUUAAAAAUCAAUUUGACCCUAACGAAAAUGAUUUUCGCAUCAUAUAAUUACUAACGUAGGUAUUAAUACUAUUUGCAUCAACUAAGGCUUUUUUUCUUUCAAUUUCAUUUUCCUUUAUUUCGGAUAAAUAAAAAAGUUUAAAAAAAAUUAAUAAUUUCUCGCGGGGCUGGGGCGAAUUUCUUUCUUUUUUCCCACGCACCGCCCAUCGCCCCUCCCGCUUUUCUCCUCCUCCUUCCUCCUUCCUCCUUCCUUCCCCGCAGCGCACGUGGGCGGCUCUCCCUUCUCUCCUCCUUUUCCUCUUCCAACGCAACAAGGACAACGUGCUGCAGAAAAGAAGGAGCAGAGCAGGUGGAAGUAAUGAUUGAUGGGACGCCAGCUCGGCAGGCGGAGGCCGGUCGGCGCGCCGAGAUCUCUGAGAGAUCUGGGAGCGAGAGAGAGAUCUGAGAGAGGGUGAGCUCUGAGAGAGUCAGAAAGAGAGGCCGCCGGUGACCACCGCGCCGACGAGCCGCCGCCGUACCGACUGAGUCGAACCGGGAGCCCCCCCAGCCUCUGUUUUUGCCUUGUUUUGGGCAUGCAGGGCCGGAGCUCGCGGCCGCCCGGCUGUGCGAACUCCGGCCCCUUCUCUUUCAUUUUCGGCUGCUGUGGUGUCGCUGUUUGUCCGGCGAAGGUUUAGACUUUGGUUUGAGCCCCGAUGGAACCAAGAUCCGACGUUUCAGCAGUGUGCUCUACCCGUUCGACGGAAUGCCUGAGCUAGAUCUAAUUUUUGCGUGCUCAUUUUGAACGAUUUCGAGUUGACCGGACACCAUCUCGGCCGGUCGAGAAGCCUCGGUGACGCUCGACGCUCGCGGACGUCGGCGGUUUGGCCGUUUCGACGCGUCCCCACUACCCCCACUCUAUCGUUUUGACGCCGCCCGUCUCGACCAUCGCCGUCGACGCCGCAAGGAGCAGGGAGAGAGGCGCUUGGGUUGCAUAAGGGAAAAGAAAAGUAGAAAAAUCAAAAAAGAAAAGGGGAUGGGCAGCAAUUUUACAGAAGUGAAAAGGGGAUCUACUUGUGUCUUGGUCGAUGAAGUACCACGCGCAGAAAGAGAAAGAAGAGAGAAGUAAGGAGAAGACAAAAGAAGAGGAGAGAGAAAAGUUGAAAAUGGGGGCAAAUCGCGCGCCCGUCGUUCGGGUUGGGGAAGCGCGACCCGGUAAUCGGGCCAGCGCCCGGGUCUGACCGAUCCGAAUCGGUAUAUUUUCAUUUUAUUUCCUUUAAAAAAAAUAAGAAAAAUGCAAAAAUAUUUUGCAUUAAAGAAAAAUCAGAAAAGGCUUGUAAAUAGUCUUUGAAUGUUUUUUCUUUAAAAUUUGUGAAAACACUUAACGGAAAAUUCAAAAAAAGAAAAAGAAAAUCGUGUUUAAGUUUUCGAAAGUAAAUAUUGGCUUAUCCAAUUGCGCCUUUAUGAUGUGGUUAGAAAUGGAAUCCUAGAAUUCAUGAUUGGUAAAAUGCUUUAUUUAAUUUCAAAUAAGACUAGGUAUCGAAAGAAUAUUAAUGAUUAAUUAAUGUAAUCAAGUUUCGAUCUUAGUUCUUUUGGUUACGCAUGAGUGAAGUGUUUCUUCCAAUAUUUCAUUUGGAUUUUUAAUUGCCUUACUUCAAAUUAAUUAGUGACAACUUCUAUUUAAAAUCGGAUUUGGUCUGACCGGUGUAGAUCGAGUCCUGUCUCCGGUCCGAUUGGGGGCGGGCCGGUCAGCCCGUCGGAGUGGGCCAGGCCCCACCAUGGUUGGUCGGGCCUCUGCCCAAUUGUGGGUUGGGCCCAACCCCCUCGCAAAAGGGCUCCCUCUGCAGGCCCACGACCCAGACCAACUCUGGGCCGCUGGCCUGCAGGGCGAGAGAGAGGCCAAACGGGCCAAAUUGGUGAUCUGGCCCGUUUUGGCCUCCCCCACCCCCCCCCCCCCCCUCCUUUGGUCCGCGACCAGAAAGGGGCGACGCGGUGCAGCCCGGGCAAUUCUCCGGCCGGGGCACGACGACAUCGCGUCGGUUGGGGCGGAGGACGAUGCUCGUCCUCCGGCCAGGCAACGGCGUCCACUCCGGCAACCUAACGACCCCGCGGGAGCUGCAGGCAGAGGGGCAGAGAUGGAGGCUUCGGUUGGGAAUUUCGGCGAGCAGGUGGGGGGCACUCGGGAACCGGGGGAUUCGAGAUCGGUCGAGGCCCGAGCGCAAGUCAAAACCACUAAGGACGCACACCAGGGCAACAGCAAACACAGCGGGGGAUGGGUGGUGGCCAGAGCUCGCUCGAAACGGUCAAAGGAGCUCCGGCCAGCUCGGUGCAACACACGCACACCAGGUGUUUGGCGAAAUGCUUACCUGGGUUCCGAGGAAAACGGCGGCUGGACGUUCCGAGGGGUCCUCGGCUCCUUGGCUCACCUCCACGAGUCCUCUUCUCCUGCUUUUCUCUCCGGUUUCUCUCUCCCUCCCUUUCCGUUCUCUCUCGGCUCUCUCCCUCCGUUUUUCCUUUAUCCUUCGCUUUUUGCUUUUUCACCCCCACUCUGUUCUUCCCGUGCUGUCCUUUUCCCUCUGCUGCGCCCGCUUUUGCUGCGGGUUUUUCCUCUGCCCUAUGCUUCCGCCGUCUGCCCUAUGUGCUUUAUCUAUCAUCAAUAAAUGGGAAAGCAUAGGGUAAGCAACUGUCGAGGCUGGUUUGUAUAUUUUCUCUUAUUUUUGAUCUGGUAUGGUGUAACAUCUGCAAUAUAGAACCACGUUGGAGAUGUUGAAAGCAAGACAGAAUCCCUUAAGCAGAUGCCUUUGAACAUGGAAACGGCAAUCUCAGCUAUAGAAGGUCUUCCGGUGUGCCCUAGUUCGUGCCUCGUGGAACUUCAAGAAAAACCUUUUAUUUCAUAGAAAGUCAUGAGUAUAUGUACAUAUUAGACUGAACACGUACCAAAUUACAAGCUUCUAUUUUAAUUUCACGCAUUUUCAUCCCCUUUUUCAAUUGUCAGAUAUAAGAUAAAAAAUGACAAUUGUAAAUUAAAAUAGACAAACUCGCCUCUAGCACUUGAGAAAAGGCUACCAAAUAUUGCGUUGCUAAAAUUCAACUAGCACAAAUUUAGAUGAUUAUUAUAUGACUAUUUCUCCAAAAUUUCCUACGAUGAAAUAUCUUUCACCGAAAGUCAUUUUUUGGCUUUUAGUUAGAUGAAACAGGUUAUGUGAUGACUCGGGAAAGGGAAUCAAUAACUUUACUUCAAACCAAAUCAUACAAAUACAGACUCUGCCGGAGUUUAAUCAAUCACGAAGCUUGGAAAGUACAACUAUUAUAAACAAAAUUUAGUCCAUCCAGUCUAGAUAUGGCUUUCUAUAUAUAGGCCUGAUGUUUUCGACAUGGAAGCCCAGGCGUUGCAUUGCUUGAUCCACUGACAACUGGCCUGACGUUCCACGCCAGUGGUGCAUCUGCUGUCUCUCCAUUUUCGCUUAUUUUUGGUCUGGUAUGGUAUAGCAUCUGCAAUAUAGAAAUGACGUUGGAGAUGUUGGAAGCAAGACAGAAGCCCUUAAGCAGAUGCCUUUGAACAUGUGAACGGUAAUCUCACCUAUAGAUGGUCUUCUGGUGUGCCGUAGUUCGUUCUUCGUGGAUUUUCAAGAAAAACCUUUUAUUUCAUGGAAAAUCAGUGUAUGUACAUAUUAGACUAGGGACGUAGUAAAUUACAGGCUCUAUUUUAAUUUCGUAAAUUUUCAUCUUCUAUUUCAAUUGUUACAUUUAAGAUAGAAAUGACAAAUGUAGAUUAGAUAGACAAACUCAAGCCUCUAGCACUUGAAAAAAAGGUAACAAGUAUUGCAUUGCUAACAUUCAACUAGCACAAAUUUAGAUGAUUAUUAUGUUCCAAAUUCGCCAGAAGUAGUUUGAAGUAGUUUUUCAUAAAGGGAAUUAACAAUUGUACUUCGAACCGAAUUAUAUAAAUACAAACAGUGCCAAAAUUUAAUUGACAACAAACCUCAGGAAAAACAACUAUUAUAAACAAACCAAACAUAAACAAACUUUGUUAGAAUUUAAUCGAUGACAAAGAUUGAGAACACAAAGAUGAAGAUACAUGUCGGAAUUUAAUUGAUAACGUGAAUUUGGGUACUACAGCUAAGAAAGAUGCAGAAUUAAAUCGAUAAUGCAAAUCUGGAAAAUUGACAUAUAGUACAAGAAAGUAAAGAUGAUUGAAAGUUAGUAAAUUUGAUUAAUUUGUGAGAAAAGGGGGGCCUCCGAAGAGUAUGAUGAGGCUAUUAAAAACUUACCAUCAACACACAAAGGGAAGUUUUUUUUUUUUUUUAAAAUAAGAUUACAAAGAGAGGUUACAAAGUAAUCGGUUACAUCGUCGGUUAUAUUGACUCUGUUGCGAUGCGGCGAGCGAUCGAACAAAAUAUAUAUAGAAAAAGAAAAUAAAUCGAACACCAGAUUUACGUGGUUCAAUCGUAAAGACCUAUAUUCACGUGGAGAGCAGCGGCGAAUUUCACUAUAGAUCAAGCGAUAUAAGGAGAUUACACACUCGAAUCACUCAAACACUCUCUCGGUGUUUCCCAAGCCCCAAUUACACCAAAUACAUCAAUCUUUCUUGGAUGUAAAUCACGAAUAAGCUUCGCAACACGGCAACACGAACAAUACGAAGACCCAAAGCCAAGCACCUAGCACCUAUGAAUGUCUCUCACGAACAGAACACCCAUUGUACUUAGAGUAAAAACGGCGUGGCUUUCCUCUCUCUCGGCGACGUGCAACUUCAUGUAAAUCCUUCGGCGGCUACCUUUUACGUAGGGUUUCAAGCGGCCACUAACCGACUUCACACGCAUGCCAAAGAAAAGGAAAUUCGUGCGCCCAAGGUCAAAUAGUUGACCUGGGUCCACCAGUUCCUUAAUUCGGCUCACUUCACGUGCAGAGGGCUCCUUCACGCAAAAAAGGAAUUCUUCUUCGUGUAUGUUGACUUUUGGGCCCCACCUGGUAAAAAGAAUUCGGCUACUCCUCUAGGACGAAAAUAAAACUUUGCUGCCCUUUUAUUUUAAUUUAUAUUUCAAAAUUCAGCAAUUCACUUCCGGCUUAAACUCGAGUCAUAAAUUUAAGAGACUCUACUGCCUUAAUGAUUUCUUUGACUCCACUAUAUUGACGGUUGCUUCAUUCCACUGCCUUAUUUUUUCCUUCAGCAAAGGGAGGAAUGACUUUGUGCGAACAGAUUUAGGUCAAAAUCCCUCCAUCCAAACAUGGCUCGAGAGAAAUAGGCUCGAUUAUCAAUGAGUGCAUACGGUUCCUCGACCGGUUGUCCGGAGAUCCAUGCGCAUCUCCAUCCUGGUACAUGAAAUGUGUUGUCCGGGCAAGAUUGUAAGCCAUCCGCACAAAAGAUUGAUCGAAGGUGGAGCCGUUGACUAGAUAUUUGUUCAUCUGUUUCCAAGAUGUGUCGAUCAAUUUCAUAACGUAAUCGCGAGCCUCUGAUUCGGAGACCCCCAUCUCUUGCAUGUAACACGUGAUUGAAUUCGUUGUUUCUCCCCUCUCUAGCUCAGCCUGUUAGGACCAUAGUUUUGCCAAUUGUUUUAGAAGAAGAUUAUUUUAGAAGAAGCUAUCUAAAAGAUUAUUGAGUAUAUGGAUAUUAUGACUACAGAAAAAAGAAGUAUGUGCAUAAGGUUAACUGUGAAACAGGAAAAAUUGAAUUAGAGAGAGCUGAAAAAAAUGCAUACCGAUAAGGUAACGAGAUCAUUGGUAAGACGAAAAAUCAUGGAUGGCAAGCGCAAGAUAUCAUGGUAAUGUUCUAGCGAUUCUAGUUCCUCCCGUCCCAUGCUUGGGCCUGAUAAAAAGUAGGCAUGAAUCAAUAUGACAUGCCCUGAUGAUGAUAUCCACCCAUUGUUCAAGUACUCUUCAAAUCGUGGGUUAGUCUUUUUGUAGCUCCAUUUGGCUUCUUGCAAGAAGGAUUUGCACAAAUCAUACCACUGGGAAGCAAUAGAAAUACCAAAUUUACGUAUUAGGUGGGAAAUUCCUAAAAGUCGGAUGCGUACAUGGUCAGUUAGUACAAUGUCGAGUACUGAAAAGUCUUUUCGCUUACCGAUUUUGCUAGAUACGGGAUGACAAUUUUCCCGGUCUCCUUGAGAGUGUCGUAAGCGAUUUCGUUCACGCUGUUGAAGAGAGCUAAGAAGCACAACUUCAUAUAGCCUGGAAGAUCGUCCACAGCAUUGAUGUCCCAUCUGAAACCACACAAAUGACAAGGUGGAACCUCAACCUCUAAAAUGCAUGAACGUUAUUGUCUCCAAGUAAAUCGACGAGCGAUGAACCUGCGGACAGCAUCAGUGAAUAGCUCCAGUUCGUCCAAUGUGCCAUAAACAUCGUACACAUCAUCCAUGAUGGUUAUCAGCGAGGUCACUUUGGUCAGCCGCUUCCGACAAUUAGUGAGCGUAGGUUCGUCUGCCACUCCAGCCGCCCAAAAGAAGCACUCCGUUAGUCUAUCCCUCACGAAGUUCAAAUUUCUCGCGAGGCUAACAUCAUUCCACCAUCUGCGAUAACACAGUAUAAUUUUAGAGUAUGCAUUGCAAUUCUUCGAAUACAUGGGAAGCUUUCCAAAGUCUAAUUUCCUUAUAGCCCAUGAAUUCCAUCGUCCAUUAUAGAAUUUAUCCUCAUGAGUUUGCAGACUAGCCUUGACAUUUCCUGAAGAUCUCUUUGGAGGAUUGAUUGCAACGUGUCGAAGUUUGUCGCGGCAAAUUCAGGGAUUCGAUGAUUGGUGUAUCCGCAUCUUCUGUAAGCUUCAAUGGACCGUCGAGCUUCUAGCAUUGGCAUUCUACAGUGCAGAGGCAGUUCUAAUUCAUGUUUCACUUGGUCUUGAAGAUCUUUGUCGACCUUGCAAUUAAGGUUUCUGAGAUGCUCGAUGGCGAAUGAUCUAGCCUCUUGCAAGAUAUCUUCUUCUUCAAAGGCCAAAUGGGAGGCUUCGUGUAGACUCAGCAUUCCUUGGACAUCACCACCAAGGGUCUUCAUAAAAUUGCCACUUUUGUCCAUGAAAAUCUUAAAAUCAUCUGUUUAUUCGAAGCUGAGAUUAGUCCAUCUGAUUAGAGAAAGAUACUAUGCAGUUUUUUUUUUAAAUUUCUAAAGCCCUUCGCUCAUGAGAGGAUAAGGUGAGGUCCUAUGCUGAGAGCUAUUAUAGAUGUCACUACAAGUGUUUAGCAUGUCAUAGUGAUUACAGAGUACUUGUCUGUUUCAUAUAAUCAUUUCGAACCUUCAUACACAAAAGCUACGCUAGUAUAACAAAAAUUGCAAAAGCAUCUUGAUUCCACUUUUGAGAAAUAUCUUCUAAUUGCUUUUGUUUCAUCAGAUUUACGAUGAAGUACCUUGAGAAACUUCAAAGCCGUGCUGUCUAAGAAUCCGAAAGCUUAGAGCUGUGCUAUGCAGAGACUUCUGCCGGCUCUUAUUGACCGCAUCAUUAGAGAGACAUCUGCGAAGAGCUCUCGAAAUGUCUUCCUUAAAAUGUUGGCCGAGUCCUAAGCGUUGAAAGUCAUCAACCAGAGCAAAUAUGGUCAUGGGUUCAGCUUUUUCGUCAUUGAGAGCACCUCUCACUUCUUCCAACAUUUGUGCCUUUUCUCUCUGUAGCUCAACCUACGUUAGAAGAAAGUAAAAUCCACAGCUUAAUGUACCCUAGAAAAAAGCAAAGAAAGAUACUUCAAAGGAAGAGAUGGAAAUCUUCUAUCUGGUGGUCCCAUUUAUGUCACAUGCGUGGGAUUAUGACUAUGAUUGAUUUUUUAAAAUGAAAUAGUGUUGUGUAAAAGACGUCAAGAUACACGAGGAUAGAGGAUUUCAUCUUUUCAUGGCAUGCUGUAGAUUUUGAUAGGUUUAUAUCGCUAACUAAUCACAAAUGACAAUGGUUCAUGACUCUCUAUUCUUUGUUUGGACAAGACUUCCUACAUACUUGUUGGAAGAAAACCUCUUCCAAUAAGUAUUCGGGUUGGUGGAUACAAGUACAGCAAGUGCCAUAAUUUUUGUAUAAUGCUCACUUAAAUACCAUAAUUUUUUUUCAAUUGUCUAAAUGCUAUAACUUAUAUACAACACUAAUUUGAGUAUCAUAACUUUUUUUUUUCCAAUCACUUAAGCACCAUAUAACUUUUCAAUUGAUUACUGAAAUAUCAUAACUUUUUUAAAAAGCAUUCACCGCAAGUGAUAUGUCACAUCAGAUUUCCAAGAUUUGGGUGAGCAAUUAUAAAAGGUUUUAGCGCUUAAAUGAUAGAUUAAAAGUUACAACACUCAAGUAAACAUUUUUUAGAAAUUUAGAAAUUAUGACACUGAAGUGACCGAAAAAAAUUAUGGCACUCAUUGAAUAUUAUAACGAAAGUUAUGAUAGUUGUGGUGUUCUUUACCUUUACUUAAAUCCAUAUUUCGAUGAUGGCCUUCCAAUUCAUCCAUUAAAAACAUGAUUAGAGGAAACUAAGUAUAGAGGAAAAUAUGACCUAUCAAUAAAAGUGAUAAAUCUUGAUUAUGAGACCACAUGAAUUAAUAAUUAUGACGAUGGGGAGAUCAUUAAAUCAAAUGUCCUACUCAUCAAGUUAGUACAGUGAUGCCUAACAUAAAGUUACAACACAAGCGAGUUUGAUCGACAGUUUAUCCUAGGGUAAUUCUCCUCUCUAAUUCCAAAAUUUCAUCUAUGUUUUAUUGAGAACGUGAGAAUAAUUGAACUUCCAAUUAGACUAAAUUCCCACCGAUGCAUUGAGCUGCCUUGUCCACGUACCUGCAGCAAUACUCCACCCACAAGUGGCCAAUGUAGGAACCAAGGUUACUUUGAGUGGAAGACAUUACAAUUCAAAUACAGAAUAUCUCGUAUUCGAACCAAGUAUUUAACCACUCAUCUAAACAUUAUAUUUAAGUUCAAACCAAAUUACGAAAAUCGUCUUCUUUUCUUUUGACAGUAGCAUUAAUGUUUCGUAUGGAGAACAUAUAACUAGAGUGCGGUUUUUUACCGCACGACGAGAUUGACGGCUUUCAUCAGCCUCAAGUGACUGAAGGUAAUUGUGAGUCCAAACGGUUGGCUGAUAAUUGGCCGAUCUCCGUCCUCCUUGAGUAUCAGAGACCUGCGUGCUCCCUGAACAAUGGACUCGACCAUUAGCCGUUGGAGAGGGAAGCUUCGGAAGAUAAGGCGCGGCCAAAAGACGAAGUGCCAUUACUCACACGAACUGGACUAAGGCCAAUCCUACAAAAGGUGAAAACUCAGCGAUCAGUGCAUGCCCUCAGUUAGCGUGAACGCUCCCCAAUUUAUACAAAAUAUCUGAUCUCCUAGGACACAACGUUGGAAUACGCUACUAGAUUUUCGACUUCAAGCGAUCGUCGCUGUUGUCGUGGCGGACCAUAUGCUCUUGUCCUCUCCUUUUUCUAUGUAUGCUCGAUCACACGGUUCUGCUGGAUCGUCUCUCAUCGAAUCGUCUGUCCAUGUUGCUCGAUCACACGCCACUGGGCUCGCCUCUCAUCCAUUCGUUAGUGUCCUCGUGUUUUUAGCCGGAACACCUGGUCGGAAACGAAUGGCGAGCGAGAAGUCGUGUCGUUCUCAAGAUCGAAGAUUUUAUUUGGAGACGUUGUCUCUAUGUACCAUCAUUAUUCUCCCGCAAGCUAUAGCGAGGGAAUCUGCAUGGAACAUACAAUUAUGGAUAGUCCCUUGUUCUCCCAAAGAAGCAAGGCCCAACCUUUUGGGAAAGGGAUUGAUGUCGAAUGUUCCGGAAAUCUAGUGGUGUCGUGUAGACAGUCCCUUGGCCUAGGCUUGCAGGCCUCAUUACAGAUUGGAUCCUUCGAAAUUUCAUAGAAUUGAGAGUUUUCUUAAUAUGAAUUAUAUUAAUUAAUAUUAUAAUUUAUCGUUUUACGGAGUUAACCUAAGGUGAGAUAGAAAGUUUCUUAAUUAAUCUAAUAUAUGACUGGCUACUGUGAGCUAAGUUGAGCCUAACUCGUAAUGAGAAAAUCUGAUUGAAAACUCUAUAAAUAAUGUUUGACUCUUUCAUUUAAUUCUAAUUCUCACAAUUAUCUUUACAAAAUGAGUGUUUAUCUAACGCUAAAGGGUGAUGGGUCGUCUCAAUGAGUUGAUCCAGAGAGUAAUAGAGAAGAAAGACUUGUGCAUGAAAGACUUAUGCAUGGAUAUUUCUACUCAAUUAUAUGUUUUCUUAUUCUAGUUAUGAAUAUUAUGGGAUUGCGCGUUUUAGCGUCUAAUAUAUGGUAUCAUAGCAACCUUAACGUAGAACUCGAAUGCAUAGACUUUUCGCACUAUUUUUUGCGAUUUUCGUCAUUUUUUGUUCAAUAAAAAUCAAAUUUAAUUAUAAAUUCGGAGUAGACUCUAUCAAAUGAGCAAGUGGCACGCCACCGGGAGGCCUCACGCGCUCCCAUGAGCGAACACGCACACCUGGGACGUGAGCACGUGCCUUCACGCUCGCUGACGCUCAGGCCUAACUAGCACAUCCUGGCGUCAGCAAAUGCCAUCCUGAUGUCAACAAACGCCGACCGUAGACCUGACUCGAGCGAGUUCGGAGGACUUCCCCUGAGAGACAUCUGGGGAGGCCUUAAAGUGAGCGAGUCCGAGAGGGGUUGCCAAGGAGAGAGAGUAGCUGAGAUCUGAGAGAGAACUGUGAGCAAGAGAGAGAUCUAAGAAAGGGUGAGGUCGGAGAGAGUUAGAAAGAGAGGCCGCCAGUGACCACCUAUGUAGCACGGACACUCUCCGGAAGCUUUCGUGCGUGUCCGACACUCCGACACCUUCCGACACAUGUCCGACACGUCCCAACACGCGGUCAACGAGUGUCGAAAAAUCCGACACGUGAUCAAUUCUCUCUGACACGCUCCGACACAAGAGUCUAGAAUUCCGACAUACGAUUCCGACAUGCACGGGGUCAAUUUUAAAAAUUUCUAAUAUUUGAGGGGUCAAAAUAUGAGAAGUAAUAAAAGAAGUAAUAAAAUUGCUAUAAAUAUAUGCGCACGGGUCAAUUUUUUUUCAGUUUUUUUUUUAAAUUGUUUUAGUUCUUUUAAAAGUCUUUUACUAUGAAAGAAGUAAUAAAAAAAAUGCUAUAUAUGAUAAAUAAAUAAAUUUAAAAAUAUCAUUUCAGCAUUUUUCUUUAAACAAUGUUUUUUUUCCUCUAAGUUUUGUGUAUUAUUGUAACAAAUUAAAAUAAUAAAUGAUAUUAUUUAAUAUUUUUUGUGUAAAUUAAUUCGAGGCUAUUUUUAUUAUUAUUUAUUUAUGUAUUUAUAUAUAAAAAUAUGUUUAAUAUAUAACGUAUUGGAACGUGUCGAAAUUCUCUAUUUUUAAGAAAUGACUUGUCGGCGUGUCGUGUCGUGUCGCGUGUUACAUGUCCGUGUCGGUGCUACAUAGGUGACCACUACGCCAACGAGCCGCCGCCGUACCGAUUGAGCCGAACCAUGAGCCCCCCAACCUCUGUUUUUGCCUUGUUUGGGCAUGCAAGGCCGGAGCUCGCGGCCGCCCGGUUGUGCGAACUCCGGCCCCUUCUUUGUCAUUUUUGGCUGCUGUCGACGCCGCAAGGAACAGGGAGAGAGGCGUUUGGGUUGCAUAAGGGAAAAGGAAAGUAGAAAAAUCGAAAAAAAAAGAUAAGAAAAGGGGAUGGGCAGCAAUUUUACAAAAGUGAAAAGGGGAACCACUUGUGUUUUGGUCAAUGAAGUAUAAAUAGUGGGGGCUAUUCUCUUCUCUAGUCUGACCCCGCGCAGAAAGAGAAAGAAGAGAGGAGUAAGGAAAAGACAAAAGAAGAGGAGAGAGAAAAGUUGAAAAUGGGGGCAAAUCGCGCGCGCGUCGUUCGGGUUGGGGAAGCGCGACCGGGUAAUCGGGCCAGCGCCCGGGUCUGACCGAUCCGAAUCGGUAUAUUUUCAUUUUAUUUCCUUUUAAAAAAAUAAGAAAAAUGCAAAAAUAUUUUGCAUUCUAAAAAAAAUCAGAAAAAGCUUGUAAAUAGUCUUUGAAUGUUUUUUCUUUAAAAUUUGUGAAAACACUUAACUGAAAAUUCAAAAAAAAGAAAAUCGUGUUUAAGUUUUUGGAAGUAAAUAUUGGCUUAUCCAAUUGUGCCCUUAUGAUGUGGUUAGAAAUGGAAUCCUAGAAUUCAUGAUUGGUAAAAUGCUUUAUUUAAUUUCAAAUAAGAUCAAGUAUCGAAAGGGCAUUAGUAAUUUAUUAGUGUAAUCAAGUCUCAAUCUUAGUUUUUUUGGUUACGCAGGAGUGAAGUGUUUCUUCCAAUAUUUCAUUUGGAUUUUUAAUUACCCUACUCCAAAUCAAUUAACAACGACUCCUAUUUGAAAUUGACUUAUAAGUUAAAAACUCAAAUCAUAAAUCGUGAAUUGAUGGGCUUGGGAGAGUUCGAACUAAACUUAAUACUUAGCACUAGCCAUUUGCCUCCGUUCGCGCCCGCACAUAAGGGCACCAAAAAGGAGGUCAUGACAAGAACAUAUGAAUCAUGUGUCGCUAGCGCUAGGGACCAAACGUUUUGUAAGCCCAAGUUGGUUGGUACUUGGCCAAUCGUUGUCCUCCUUGAGGAACAACAAUUUUGUUGCAUGUCGAACGAGGUACCUGAUUCUUUAUCUUCUUGGAAAAAACAUCGAGAGCAUAAUAAAGUGGAAGUGCCAUUAUUUCAUCAAAGUGAAGAGAACAGCAUGAGAGAGAAAGACCAAAACAUCAGUGUUGCGACCUAUCCUCAAGAGGAGGGAGUAGAUUUAGGAAUGGUGCCUAAAGGAUGGACCUAAGGCCCAUGAUUAGGCGUGGGCUCUCAUAAGCCUAUACCUCGCGUGACAUUUAGAUAUUUUUAAAUAUUUUUGCAAUAAAGAGUCGCCACUAGCCUAUUAGAGUCAGCAACUAGAGACCAAGUGAGGCAUGGGAGUAUAUCUCGCUUCCUACGCAAUCAGAUAAUUUAGGGUUAGGGACUUGAUUAUAUUAAUUAAUCAAUUAGUGCCCUUCCAGUACCUAAUCUUGUUCAUUUUAAAAGAAAAUAUUUUUGUCGGGCAGCUUGGAUUGAUUUUACACCUAUUCACUAACAUAUGAGGUGAUCAUGCGAGCGCGCAAUCAUUAAAGUAAUAAUCAUAGCUACCAAAAUCCUAAUUGUAGUAAAAUUAAACACGUGCAAUUAAAUAUGAUUAUAUAUGCAAAUUAAACGUACGACAUAAUCAAUGUGCAAGCAAAUAAAAGCCUAAUUAUACUGAAAAGGCCAAACAUGGCCAUUUCUAACCAAACCCUAGAUUUUUUAAUUUUCAAAAUUUUUUAUUUUUAAAAUUUUAAAAUUUUUAAAAAUUUUAUUAUUUUUAAAAUUUUAAAAUUUUUAAAAAUUUUAUUAUUUUUAAAAUUUUAAAAUUUUUAAAAAUUUUAUUAUUUUUUCAUUAAAAAAAUAGGCCAUGCCGGUUUGGAUCUAGUUUAACUCGACCCGGGUUCGGCUUAGUUGGCAUGGAUCUCUGACCGGACUCGGGUUUGGUCCAAUUGGGGGGUGGGCCGGUCAGCUCGCCCGAGUGGGCCAGGCCCGACCAUGGUUGGUCGGGCCUCUACCCAAUUGUGGGUUGGGCCCAACCCCCUCGCAAAAGGGCUCCCUCCGCAAGCCCCCGACCCAGACCAACCCUGGGCCGCUGACCUGUGGGGCGAGAGAGAGGCCAAACGAGCCAGACCGGUGAUCUAGCCUGUUUUGGCCUGCCCGGGUUCGGCCCGGUCAACGCGGAUCUCUAACCGGACCCGGGUUUGGUUUGGUUGGGGGGCGGGCAGGUCAGCCCGCCCGAGUGGGCGAGGCCUGACCAUGGUUGGUCAGGCCUCUACCCAAUUGUGGGUUAGGCCCAACCCCCUCGCAAAAGGGCUCCCUCCGCAGGCCCCCAACCCAGACCAACUCUGGGCAUUUGACCCGCGGGGUGAGAGAGAGGCCAAACGGGCCAGACCGGUGAUCUAGCCUUUUUUGGCCUCCCCCGCCCCCCCCCUCCUCCUCUGGUUCGCGAAUAGAAAGGGGCCACGCCGUGCAACCUGGGUAGUUCUCCGGCCGGGGCACAACGGUGCCGCCUCGGUUGGGGCGGACGACGAUGCCGGUCCUCCGGCCAGGCGACAGCGUCCACUUCGGCAACCUAACAACCCCGCGGGAGCUGCAAGUAGAGGGGCGGAGAUGGAGGCUUCGGUUGGGAAUUUCGGCGGGCAGGUGGGGGACACUCGGGAACCGAGGGCUUCGAGAUCGGUCAAGGCCCAAGCGCAAGUCAAAACCACUGAGGACGCACACCAGGGCAACAGCAAACAUAGUGGGGGAUGGGUGGUGGCCAGAGCUUGCUCGAAAUGGUCGAGGGAGCUCCGGCCAACUCGGUGCAACACACGCACACCAGGUGUUUGGCGAAAUGCUUACCUGGGUUCCGAGGAAGACGGUGGCUUUUGGCGGCUCAACGGCGGCGGCUGGACGUUCCGGGGGGUCCUCGGCUCCUUGGCUCACCUCCACAAGUCCUCUUCUCCUGCUUUUCUCUCCGGUUUCGCUCUCCCUCCCUUUCCGUUCUCUCUCGGCUCUCUCCCUCCGUUUUUCCUUUAUCCUUCGCUUUUUGCUUUUUCACCCACCCCCCUACCCCUCUGUUCUUCCUGUGCUGUCUUUUUCCCUCAGCUGCGCCCGCUUUUGCUGCGGGUUUUUCCUCUGCCCUAUGCUUCCGCCGCCUGCCCUAUGUGCUUUAUCUAUCAUCAAUAAAUGGGAAAGCAUAGGGUAAGCAACUGUCGAGGCUGGUUUGUCUCUUUUCUCUUAUUUUUGAUCUGGUAUGGUGUAACAUCUGCGAUAUAGCAUCACGUCGGAGAUGUUGAAAGCAAGACAGAAGCCCUUAAGCCAAUGCUUUUGAACAUGGGACCGGCAAUCUCAGCUAUAGAAGGUCUUCCGGUGUGCCCUAGUUCGUGCCUCGUGGAACUCCAAGAAAAACCUAUUUUUUCAUAUAAAGUCAUGAGUAUAUGUACAGAUUAGACUAAUCACGUACCAAGCUACAAGCUUCUAUUUCAAUUUCACACAUUUUCAUCCCCUUUUUCAAUUGUUAGAUUUAAGAUAGAAAAUGACAAAUAUAAAUUAGAAUAGACAAACUCGAGCCUCUAGCACUCGAGAAAAGGCUACCAAAUAUUGCGUUGCUAAAAUUUAACUAGCACAUAUUUAGAUGAUUAUUAUAUGACUAUUUCCUUGAAAUUUAUCCUGCGACGAAAUAUCUUUCAUCGAAAGUCAUUUUUUGGCUUUUAGUCAAAUGAAAGAGGUUCUAUGACAACUCCAGAAAGCGAAUCAACAACUUUACUUUGAACCAAAUUAUACAAAUAUAAACCAUAUUGGAAUUAAAUGAAUGAUGAAGCUUGAAAAGUACAACUAUUAUAAACGAAAUUUAGUCCAUCCAAUCUAGAUAUGGCUUUCUCUAUAUAGGCUUGAUGUUUUCAACAUGGAAGCCUAGGCGUUGCAUUGCUUGAUCCACUAACAACUAGCCUGACGUUCCACGCCAGUGGUGCAUCUGGUGUUUCUCCAUUUUCUCUUAUUUUUGGUCUGGUAUGGUAUAGCAUCUGCAAUACAGAAAUGACGUUGGAGAUGUUGGCAGCAAGACAGAAGCCCUUAAGCAGAUGCCUCUGAACAUGUGAACGGCAAUCUCACCUAUAGAUGGUCUUCUGGUGUGCCCUAGUUCGUGCUUCGUGGAUCUUCAAGAAAAACCUUUUAUUUCAUGGAAAAUCAAUGUAUGUACAUAUUAGACUAGGGACGUAGUAAGGUCUAUUUUAAUUUCACAAAUUUUCAUCCCCUUUUUCAAUUGUCAGAUUUAAGAUAGAAAAUGACAAAUGUAAAUUAGAAUAGAUAAACUCGAGCCUCUAGCACUUGAGAAAAGGGUAACAAGUAUUGCGGAGUGCGGGACACUUGGAGUGCCAUAACUUGGCACGCCGGGACACUUAAGUGCCAUAACUUUAAAAUGGUACACUUAAGUGCCAUCAUCGGAGUAAAAUGGGACACUUAAGUGCCACUCCGGCGAAAAUCCGGCCAAAUGGCUGACGUGGCGACUUUCCGGCGAGCUCGGUCCAAAACGGCGUCGUUUUGCACGCUGACGUGGCGGAGAAAAUGCAAAAACGACGCCGUUUCACGUCCACGUGUAAAUAAUAGUAUAUAAAUUAAUUAAAUUAGAUUUAAAAUAUUCAAAAAAUUUUAAAAAAUUAAGAAAAAUUUUAAAAAUUAAGAAAAUUUUAAAAAUUUUAAAAAAUAAGAAAAUUAAAAAAAAAUUAAAAAAUUAAGAAAAUUUUAAAAAUUUUAAAAAAUUUUAAAAAUUAAGAAAAUUUUCAAAAAUUUUAAAAAAAUUAAGAAAAUUUAAAUUUUUUUUUAAAUUAAGAAAAUUUUAAAAUUUUUUAAAAAUUAAGAAAAUUUUAAAAUUUUUUAAAAAUUAAGAAAAAAUUAAAAAAAAUUGUAAAAAAGGGGGAGGGGGGGUGGGAGGCCGAACGGGACGGCUCCCUUGCCGCCGCCGCCGGCUCCCUCACCGCCGCCACCUCCGCCGCUGUCGCCUCCCCACCCCCCCUUUUUUUUUAAUUUUUUAAAAUUUUCUUUUUUUUUUAAUUUUUAAAAUUUUUUAAAAUUAAAAUUUUAAAAUUUUCUUAUUUUAUAAUUUUUUUUAAAUUUUUUAAAUUUUUUAAAAUUUUUAAAAUUUUUUAAAAUUUUUAAAAUUUUUUAAAAAUUUUAAAAUUUUUUAAAAUUUUUUAAAAUUUUUUAAAUUUUUUAAAAUUUUUAAAUUUUUUAAAUUUUUUAAAUUAAAAUUUUUAAAAUUUUCUUAUUUUUUUAAUUUUUUUUUAAUUUUUUAAAAUUAAAAUUUUUUAAUUUUCUUUUUUUUUUAAUUUUUAAAAUUUACUUUUUUAAAAUUUUUAAAAUUUUUUUUUUAAAUUUUUAUGCUGAUUUGGAGCUCCGGCGAGCCACGUAGGCAAAAAAUAAUAAUAAAAUAUUGCCACGUAGGAUUUCCGGCAAGGGUCGCCGGAGGUGGCACUUAAGUGUCCCGCUCGAAAAAAAAAGUGGCACUUAAGUGUACCGUUUUGAAGUUAUGGCACUUAAGUGUCCCGGCGUGCCAAGUUAUGGCACUUGUGGUGUACUUCUGCCAGUAUUGCGUUACUAAAAUUCAACUGGCACAAAUAGACAAAACUUCCUCUAUUCUUAUUGGAAAAAACCUUCUCCAUUCGAUAUUCAGGCCGGUGGAUACAAACAAGAACAUCAUUCUCCAUUCGAUAUUCAGGCCGGUGGAUACAAACAAGAACAUCACCAUAUUUAUGUGUAGUCAUAUCUAAAUUUCUAAUGAUGGCCCGAACUUCCAAUUCAUCCAUUAAAAACAUGAUAAGAGGGAACUAAGUAUAGAGGAAAAUAUGACCCAUUAAUAAAAGUGACAAAAUAUUGAUUAUGAGACCACAUGAAUUAUACAAGGUACAACAAUCUUCGUUGAACCCCUUCAAAGUGUGUCACGAGCCAAUGUCAUUUUGUUAUUGUGGAAAGAUCUUCCACAACACUGACAUCACAUCUUAAAAAAAGGCAAACCACCCCCCUCCCUCCUCUCUUCUUUCUUCUGUCGUCUUCUUCCUCCAUCGCCUCUGCCCCUCACGCGCGCAGAGGCCGACGACGCGCCAGAGGACGAGCUACGACGAGGGUAGAUCAGCAGUGAGGAGACAAGCCUUCAAUGCAAAACAGGAGACGCAAGUGGGCGGCUGAGCUGACGCCAGUUCGGCUGGUGGAGGGAGGCCGGUCGGCGCACCAAGGACCGCUGGCCUAGCCUCCGCCGACCGGCCCCCCCGCGCCUAUAAAUAGGGCGUCGAGGGAAGGCUAAAACCACGGCGAAGUGAGGGAUCACCGGUAGCAAGCUUCGAAGACCUUCCCUGAGAGACUUCGGGGGAGGUUUGAAGGCCAGCAGCCGGAGAUCUCAGAUCUGGCCGGAGGAGGGGUGUUCUGAGCAGAGGAGGUUUGAGAUCUGUAAGGCGGGGGUUGCAAGAGAGAGAAAGCCAGAACCAAGGAGGGAGAAUGCGCCGUCGAAGCUGCCGGCUGCCGUCCCCGUGCCAGGUCGUACCGUCCCCCAGACGCCGCGACCGAGCCCCUGUCUAACCGCUUUGUCCACCAGCUCAGUAGCCCCGAGAUCCUUUGGGCCCGACACGGCAGCUACGCCGCUACUUCUGCCCCGACGACCAGCCGAGGUGCCGCCUGCCAUCUCGCCGACCAGCAACGCCACCGUGCCAUACCCUCGCUGUGGACAUGUAACAAACUGCCGACCAACACGUCGUCGCCGUCGCCUUUACUUCGAAACCCUAGCCGUCACCGUCCACUUCAAUACCAGGUCUGAUGUGGUCGCCGUCUACCCUCGCCCGCUCCCCACAGAUGCCGCUACUCUGCCCCACAAUGACCCAGCCUCUCACCAACUGUGGCCAAGUCUCACGUCGUCACUGCCGCGUUCGUCGAUCCCCGACACAAGUCCCAGCUGCUGCUACUGUAUCGCAACGCCGUCCCCGUUAGUGGUUUGUAGCCAUCGUCGCCGUUGUGGUCGAUUCACGGGUCUGUCCGGCUCAGUUUCCUUUUUCACGGGUCUGUCCGGCUCAGUUUCCUUUUUCCUGGGUAGGGUUCCAGACAACCUAGGUCAUCGCGCGUGGGCGGGCUUGUGGUCGCCGUCAAGCCCGCCGUCACCGCUGUCGUCGUCGCCAUUGUCGUCACCGUCCGCCCGGUGACACCUCGGCCCCCCUCACCAGCGCCGCGAAGGAGCAAAGGGGAGAGGAGGCCGGGAACCGGGUCGAUUCACGGGUCUGUCCGGCUCAGUUUCCUUUUUCCUGGGUAGGGUUCCAGACAACCUAGGUCAUCGCGCGUGGGCCGGCUUUUUCCCUAAGUCGGGCCCUUUUUAGAAAAUAGGGCUAUUUCGAUUUGGGCCGGGCUUUUUAAAAAAAAAGGAACAAAAUCUCGGGCCGGGGCUGCGUUGCAAGCCCGUCCGGGUCUUGGGCAGACGGCCCGAGUCGGACCCAACCGGGAUCCGACCCGGUUCGUUUUUAUAAUAUAUUAAUAAUUUAAUAAUUUAAUCAAUAAAAAAGUAAAUUUAUUUUUCAGAAAAUCAAAAAAUAAAAAAUAAUUCAUAUUUUCUCAAAAAAGCCAAAAAAGUCAGAAAAAGCCAAAAUAGACUUAUGUUUUCCAGAAAAUCAAAAAUCUAAAAAAUGCUUUUUAUGUUAAAAAAAUGAGAAAAAAUAAAUGUUUUUCCUCCUCAAAUGUAUGGAAAAUCUCUCAAAAAUCCAAAAAGUCUUAGGAUUUAAACAAGAUUAGGUAGCAAUAAGUCAUUAGUGAUUAACUAGUAUAAUCUAGUCAUCAAUCCUAGUUUCUCCGAUUGUACAGGAGCAAGUAUUACUCUCAAUACUUCACUUGAGUUUCUAAUCAAACUACUUCAAAUUGAUUAGUGGCGACUCCUUUUAGAAUUAACUAUGAAAAAUAUCAAAUUAUUAAGUCGUGAAUUGGUGAACUUGGGAGAGCCCAGACUAAGCCUAAUAAACCUAACCAAACCAUUAGCCUCCAUCGACGCCCGCCCUAAUCGAGCAUAAAAAAAAAGAGGUCGUGACAAUUGGUGACGAUGUCAUAGAGGCCAUCUUCUUCUCCUUCAAUUGAUGGUGGGUGAUCCUCCCUUCAACGUGCACACAACCAAUGGGCUCUCUCUUUUUCUUUGAUUUGCUAGCCAUCAGGGUGUUGUCCGUCUCCCAGAUCUAAUGAGGCACCCUCGCCUAACCACUGGCGAGGGCUCUCCUCGCCGAAUCUAGGUAAGGUUGACCUCGUUGUCACUAGGCCAGGCGAGCCCACGGCAUUAUCACUCUUUCAAGUCUUAUCUGUUGAAGAAAUCUUUCCGGAAUAUUUUGAAGCUGACAAAACGUUUCUAUCAGUCUAGUUUGAAGUUUUGCAGACUCUUCUAUUAAAGUCUGAAGACCUCCGGAACUACCAGACUCAAGACUAAAAGUCUAUUCUCAUUGACAGUUUCUAAUCCAUUGAAGAAAGGCUAUCCAGAUCUACUUCAUUAAGGAUUUGGCCUUAUCGACUGGAGAAGAUCUCUUGGCUGGAUAUGACAUAACGGAUUCAUUUAUUCAAAUUCAGAAUGAUUAAAGAUCCGAUGAUUGGCGAAGUAUUCUUGGAAGGUUCUACUUAUGGAAACCAAGAUCCUGAUUGUAUGGGCGAGUAGGAUUGAUGAGCUAUCGACAUGUUCCUUUAAUAGCUCGAAUAAUCUUCCUAAUUGUUUCUUUCAAACGGGAGGAUUGGAAGAAUUCCUUUGAUAAGUGUCAACGGGUAUGAUGGCACAAAGGAGUAUAAAAGGAAGACGUUCCAAUUGUUCGAGGUGAGUACGAUAGAAGAAUUCCAAAGUCUGAAACUCUUUGAUUCUUAGUCAAUUCAUUUGCUGAACGAAAUCUUGUACGCAAAAAAAGAGUCUAUACUUUGAGAUACCUUGAGGAAGUGUGAUAGAAUAUCUACACUGUGGAAUCAAGGGAAAGCAGUGCUGUAACAUUUCUCUUGUUCAUAGUGAAAUCCAGCCAGUGGGCUGUCAAUGCAGAAGAGUGGACGUAGGCUUGAAAUAAGCCGAACCACUAUAAAUCUUGUGUUCAAUUUUCUCUUCCCUACUCUCUGCUUUGCUUUAAUCGUAGUUCGAUUUGUUAACCAAAUGAGAGCUUCCUUUCUAAUUUGUCUAGUGUUGCUUUCAUAUCUCGAGAAAUUAUUUAAACACAUAUUCACCCCCUCUAGGUGCUAUUACUAGCUAUAUCAAUUGGUAUCAGAGCCCAUGUACUCACUUUGUUUGAAGUGUUUUACUUCAGAGUUAAAGAUCCAUGGCUAGUAUGCUAGCUCCAGGGCUGGUGGAAGGACAGAGCAAUACCAGACCACCUUACUUUGAUGGAAAGGAUUACAACAUCUAGAAAAACAAGAUGAAAGCGUUUUUACGAUCAAAUGAUCCUUUGGAAUGGGACGUUGUAGAAAAAGGAAUCACUCCUAAAGCUGCAUCUGUCACAGAAAGAGGAAAAGAAACUGUUGAGUCAAGUGAAAUGACUCAGGAAGAGAUAAUCAAGAGACAAGCUCUUGAUGCAAAAGCAAUUUAUUCUUUAUAUUGUGCUUUAUCACCUACUGAAUAUAAUAGAAUAUCUUCUUGUGAUACAGCAAAAGAAGUAUGGGAUAGAUUGCAUAUCACCUAUGAAGGAACUGAUCGAGUGAAAGAGACCAGAAUCAAUAUUCUCAUCGGUCAAUAUGAAGCCUUCAAAAUGAAAUCAAGAGAAUCUAUAACUGACAUGUUUAGUCGUUUUACAGAAAUCGUAAAUGGUCUUCAAAAUCAAGGUCAACCAAUUUCUGAUCCCAUGAAGGUAAAUAAGUUACUGCGUGGACUCUCCAAGGAUUGGAAUCACAUAAAGACCUCAAUAAGAGAGACACAGAUAAUCAUGCCACUAUCUGUCGAUGAGUUGGUUGGAACUCUUCAGUCUUAUGAAGUGGAACGAAUCAAUGAAGAUGAAGAUCCUAAAGGUAAGAAAUCCAUUGCAUUAAAAUCCAAUGAUGAUUCUGAUGUCACAGAUUCUGAAGACGAUAUGGAUGAUGAGGAGCUUGCUCUCAUGAUAAGAAGAUUCAGAAAGCUGAACAGAAAAGGAAGAAGAUUCAAUCCAAAGAAACAGAGUUUUCAAAAGCAACAGACCAAGUCUGUUGAUGAUGAUGAAUCAAACAAAGAUGUAGUCUGCUUUGAAUGUAAGAAAAAGGGACACAUCAGACCCAACUGUCCUCUUCUGAAAAAGAAGAAAUGAAAAGCUGAAAAGUAUCGAAAAGCUCUUAAAACAGAAACCUGGAGUGAUACAGAGUGUGAAGAAAGUGAUGAUGAUUAUGCCAAUAUAUGUCUAAUGGCACAAUCGGAUUCUGAAUCAAACUCCGAGAUAGACUCAGAUUCAGACAGUGAAUUUGAGGUAAGUAACUUUAAAAUCCCUGUUAAAGUUUCCAAAUACAUUGAUGAGCUGUGUUUUAGUCUUAAGACUUCUCUUAAAAGGAUUUCCGAACUUAAAAAGGAAAACUCUGCACUAAAACAACAGGAAAAUGUUUUGAAAGAAAAGUUGAAACAUCUAGACACGAAUGUUUCUACUCUUAAAGAAAGCGAAGAUAAUCUAUUGAAAGAAAAUGCAUUUUUAAAAAAUGACUUAUCAAAUAUUUCAAAAAGAUUUUCAAUAGGAUAUGAGAAACUUGAAAAAAUUCUUUCAGCACAAAAACCUUAUUUCAAUAAAUCUGGUUUAGGAAUGACAGCAGAAACCAUUCCUUUAAUUGAUUUUCCUAAAGUGAAGGAAAGAAUUAAGCAGAGACCUUCAAAGACAUUUUACAAAAAUCAUUUUCAAAAAGUGUUUGUAAAACCAGUGGGUCGAAAUGCUCUCAGAUGUUCAAAGUGCAAUAGUGCAGAUCAUUUUGAAAAAUAGUGUCCUAUGGUUUGGAAACCUGUUAAGAAAGUAUGGGCAAAAACUGCAUAUCAUACUAACACCAAUGGACCCAAGAAAAUAUGGGUACCAAAGAAAGCUUGAGUUUCUCUUUUAAAUACAGGUUACUAUCAAAAAAAAAGGUAAAAUGGUAUCUGGAUAGUGGAUGCUCAAGACAUAUGACAGGAGACUCAAAUUGUUUCAUAAAGCUCGUUCAAGUAAAUGGUGGAAAAGUCUCAUUUGGAGGAAACAACAAAGGAAGAAUUGUGAGAUUUGGAACUGUAAAGAUUGGAAACCUCACAAUAAGCAAUGUUUCCCUAGUGGAAGGACUCAACUACAAUAUGCUCAGUAUCAGUCAGCUGUGUGACACUGGUUUCAAAAUCAAUUUUCAAGAGGGAAUAUGUUUAGGAAUCAGUAAAGACUCUACUCAGUCAUUCAUGGGCCGAAGACAUGGAAAUAUCUACCUCUUGGAUGUGAAACCAGAUGAAUCGCAAUGUCUAAUCUCAAUUCAAGAUGAAGCAAGCUUAUGGCACAGAAAGCUUGGGCACAUCAAUAUGAAGCAGAUAGCCAAAAUUUCAGCAAAGAAGCUUGUUCGUGGUCUACCCAAAUUAUCAUACCAAAAGUCUGAUCUAUGUACACCAUGCGUAUUGGGAAAGCAGGUAAGAAAUUCCUUUAAACCAAUAAAUCAAGUUUCCAUUAAUCGUGUACUGCAGCUUCUGCAUAUGGACCUUUUCGAACCUACCAGAACUCAGAGUAUUGGAGGUAAGAAAUAUUGCCUAGUAAUUGUGGAUGAUUACUCAUGAUUUACUUGGGUAUAUUUCCUGGCAAGUAAGUCUAAAACUUUCUCUUACUUUGAAAAGUUUGCAAAAAAUGUUCAAAAUGAAAAAGGGUAUGUUAUCUCGAGUAUAAGAACAGAUCAUGGAAGUGAAUUUGAAAAUCAUGAUUUUACAAAAUUCUGUGAUGAAUCUGGUUUUCAGCAUGUGUUCUCCUCUCCAUAUACUCCAGAGCAAAAUGGAGUUGUGGAAAGAAAGAACAGAUCGCUUCAAGAAAUGGCUAGAACUCUUUUAAUUGAAAGUAACAUCUCUUCACGUUUUUGGGCUGAAGCAGUUUCAACAGCAUGUUACAUUAUAAAUAGAGUUUUUCUAAGGCCUAUUUUAGAAAAAACCCCUAUGAGAUAUUCAAAGGAAAGAAGCCUAUUGUUUCAUAUUUUCAUGUGUUCGGAUGCAAAUGCUUUAUAUUGAAAAAUGCAAAUGAUAGAGUUGGUAAGUUUGAAGAAAAAUCAUAUGAAGGAAUCUUCCUUGGAUAUUCUACCUUAAGCAAAGCCUACAGAGUCUAUAACAAAAAGAGUCAAUCUGUGGAGGAAUCAAUGAAUGUCAAAUUCCAGGAUUCUAUGCAAAAUGAAUCUGCUCAGACUCAUCUUGAAGAAUCUGAACCUGCUCCAGACUUUACAAAGUCUAAAUCUCAAGAAGCAACUCAGACUCUGAAAGACCAGCAACAAAUGGUUAUUGAAGAUUCAAAUGAAGGAAGUGAUCAUCAACCUAACAAAUCAACCAGUAACUGGAAGCAUAAGUCCAAUCAUCCCAAAGACCUCAUUAUUGGCGACAUUAAUGAAGGAAUUCGUACAAGAUCCAAAAGGCGCGAAGAGUCUAGCGCUGUGGCUCUUAUUUCUGAAAUAGAACCAAAAAGCAUAGAAGAAGCUUUAUCUGAUGAAAGCUGGAUUGAAGCUAUGCAAGAAGAACUCAGACAAUUCAGUAUAAAUGAUGUCUGGGAGUUAACUCAUAAACCAAAAGGUAAAUCUAUUAUUGGAGCUAAAUGGGUUUUCAGGAACAAGAUGAACGAAAAAGGUAAAGUCGUAAGAAACAAAGCAAGACUCGUGGCCAAGGGAUAUACGCAAGAAGAAGGGAUAGACUAUGACGAAACUUACGCACCAGUAGCAAGGUUAGAAGCAAUUCGAUUAUUACUUGCUUUUGCUUGUUAUAAGAAUUUCAGGUUAUUCCAAAUGGACGUCAAAAGUGCUUUCCUGAAUGGAUUUAUCCAUGAGGAAGUCUAUGUGGAACAACCACCUGGGUUUGAAGACCCAAGGAAGCCAGACUCAGUAUUCAGACUGAAAAAAGCCUUGUAUGGAUUAAAGCAAGCUCCCCGAGCUUGGUACGACAGGCUGAGUAAGUUUUUAAUUCAAAAUGGAUUUGAAAAAGGUAAAGUAGACACUACUCUGUUUAUCAAAAGAGAAAGCAAAAGUUUUCUACUUGUUCAAAUAUAUGUUGAUGAUAUCAUUUUUGGAUCAUCUAAUGAAAGUUUGUGCAAGAAAUUUUCUAAGUCUAUGCAGGAUGAAUUUGAAAUGAGCAUGAUGGGUGAACUAAACUACUUUCUUGGACUUCAAGUGAAACAAUUGAAGGAAGGGACUUUUAUUCAUCAAGAAAAAUAUGCUAAUGAUCUUGUCAAAAAGUUUGGACCGGAAAACUUCAAAAAGACUGAUAUACCAAUGUCAAGUUCCUUGAAGAUAGACAAAGAUGAAGAAGGAAAGAAAGUUGACCAGAAGCUAUACAGGAGUAUCAUCGGUUCACUUCUUUAUCUUACUGCUUCUAAACCUGACAUUUUGUUUAGUGUUUGCAUUUGUGCCAGAUUUCAAGCAGAUCCUAAAGAAUCUCAUCUAAGUGCUGCAAAGCGUAUUAUCAAAUACAUUGCUUCAACUUCAAGCAUCGGCCUUUGGUAUCCUAAAAAGGGAGACUUUACUCUUCUUGGAUAUUCAGACGCAGAUCUAGCCAGUUGCAGAGUUGAUAGAAAGAGCACCUCGGGUACUUGUCAGUUACUUGGAAGCAGGACAGUGUCUUGGUUUUCAAGGAAGCAAAAUACAGUAGCUCUUUCUACAACAGAAGCAGAGUAUGUAGCCCUUGGAAGUUGUUGUUCACAAAUUCUGUGGAUAAAACAACAGCUAAGAGACUUUGGAAUAGAAGAUUCAUGCACGGAGAUUAACUGUGACAACACCAGUGCAAUCAAUCUCACCAAAAAUCCAAUUCUUCACUCAAGAGCAAAGCAUAUAGAGAUUCGACAUCACUUCAUUAGAGAUCAUGUUCAAAAUGGAGAAGUUUCGAUUUAGUUUGUUGACUCAAAGAACCAACUGGCGGAUAUAUUUACGAAGCCUUUGGAGAAAAAUCAAUUUGAAAUCAUCCGUUCUAGACUCAACAUCUUGAAGCUUGAAGAAGUUAAAGUCUAAAGACUCUCAAUCUCAGACAAUCAUGGUUCUUGAUUGUAAGUCAUUUUAUUUUCUCUUUUAUUAAAUCUCGUAAAGGUACGAUCAUUUAUCCAUUCAUAAUUUAUUUAUGCUAUCUUCAAUUUCCGUGAAAAGUGCAAUUUUUCCUUUUCAAAAGAGUUAAUGGCAGUUAUCUAUUUUUGAAAAAGGCAGUUAUUUUUUUUUUUAAAUGUAUCUUUUAACCUUCCUUUACGACGUUUGGCAUUCCCCCGUUUCGACUAAGCUAUAUACAGUCAGUUCCUCUUCACUUAACUCCAAAACCCUAAAAAGCAUUGAUCUUUCAUUCAUGUCUUUCUCCCUUGUUUAAUCUUCGAAAAAGUUGUCAUCUUUCUUGGGAAAGUCAAGGAAGGAAUCUCUCAAAAACUGAGAAAGAUGUUGUCUUCAAGAAAGUCUUCGAGGAUUGCAAGUAGGGGACCACGGCGAAUGAGUAAGGGGCCUACUCACUUUGAUCUCACCGAGGAAGAGGAGUCACCAAGUCAACAGCAGAGCCCACAACAUUCUCAGCAACGUCAUUCUCCACCAUCUAGUCCACAGAAUACUGUUCAUCAACAAGAGGAAGAAAUCGUCGAAGACGCAGAUUCUGUAAGAGUUCAAAAGCCCUCUUUUAUUUAUAAGCUUUACCGUGCUUUAAAGAGCAUUGGUACUCCAUUGAACUACAUCGAUGAGUUUCUUAAGGACAAGGGAUAUGGGAAUGAGUACAUCUUUUUGCGAAAAAUGGAGAGUUUGGAAAUUGCUCCUAAGGGGUUGGCAGAAAAAACCCUUGCAAAUAUCCCAAGUGAUCCGCGUGUUGGGGGAUUUAAUCCGAUAGAUGGAAAUGAUGAUGACAGAUUGUACAAAGAAUUUCAACCAAGAAUGGGUGUUGCGGCGAAAAUUCGAGGAAAAAGAACAGAGUUGUUUAUAUCAAAGGAACAGAAUGAUCUAUACUCCAAAUUGUUGAAACGUGGGGUGAUAAACCCUAGGAGUGUAGAUUUUGAUUUCCUUGAUGCUGUGAAUGUCAAUUUGAGGGAAAAGUUCAGUUUUCUUCAACUUGAAUAGUUAUGUUUUGACACCACAGAAGCUUAUGCUCAAUUAACUGCAUAUUUCUAUUCAAAUCUUAGUUUCUUGGAUGCGAAUAGAAUCUCCUUCAGUGUCCGAGAUCAGGACUUUGUAGUGGAUGUGGAUAUAUUGGCAGAUGUUAUUGGGGUUGAGAGAGGAAGAUAUCAACCCAUCAGUGUCUCUAUAGCUCGUGCCACAUUGGAACUUGUUAAAGACAAAAUGACAGAGGGAAUGAUUUCCUAUUCAAGGAUGCAUGCGUUCAACAUUCUGCUUCACAAGAUUGUUAUCAAUUGCCUCAGACCCAAAUUAACUUCCAAGACUGAUGUUUCUAACUCAGAGGCAAAGCUGAUGUACGCCAUCAAUGCUGGGAAAACGUUUUCUCUUCCUCACACUAUUCUAUUUCACAUGUAUAGAGCAGUGGUGAAGGACAAGGGCCAACUUCCUUAUCCAGGUCUUGUGUCAAAGAUAUUCAGACAUUUGAAUAUUCAGCCUCCACAAAUUCUCUGCGUUUGAUCUUGUGACAAAAUGGUGGUAGGACUGAAAAUGGUGUCCAAAAUGCGUCUGAAAGAACUUGACAAGGCAUUGGAGAAAUUUAAGGAGAAAACCCCUGUCAAAUCUCAUCAAGUCUCUUCAGCAGCGAAAAGAAAAGGGAAGGAACCCAUGGUUGCUCUAUCUAAGAAGAGAAAAGCUUUCAUUACUGAUGAAGAUGAUGAGGAUGACCUCACAAUUUCUACUAUAGCAUUAAAGAAGCUGAGUCGUUCUGUUCCUGAAUCAAUAGAACGACAGGGGAAAGAAGCAGAGGAGAGAGAAGAACAGGAGAAAGAAGAAGAUACAGAAGCAGAGGAGAGAGAAGCAAAGGAGAAGGAAGAAAAGGAGAAAGAAGCUGAAGAAAAAGAAACAGACGAGGAAAGGUUUGAAGAAGAAAAAGAAAGAGAAAAUCAAGAGGAAUGAGAACAUGAGGAAAACUCUUCUCCACCUGAAGCCAUGGAAACAGGGGGAGAUGGUGAAAACAGAGGGAUGUCCUCAUAUCCUGUUACCAGUGAAGGAGUCAGUCGCUCUCCAGCAGAUCCAAAAGACAUUCAUGCCUCUCAAUUUCCUGAGGAGGGACAUGGUGCUUCAUCACCAAAUCUGCGUGAUUAUGCUGAUAUACCAUCAUCUGCCUUUACUCCAUCAGAUCGUGCCGAAGCUAGUACACAGACUGAUAACUCAGCAGAUUUUCGCAGAAUCAUUGAUGUUCUUUUGGAAUUGCGGGGUUAGAUUUAUGCUUUGGAAAGCGAAGUUUAGAACUUGAAGAAUGCAGGACAAGCUUCUUCUGUUUCAUUGUCUGAUCAGAUCCAAGCCCUUGCUCUUCAGAUUCAAGCCAAUGCUAAAAGUGAAGAGGUGGAUCAUCUAAAGGAAGAAUUGAAAAAGCUGGAAGGCAUCAUCCAGUCCAUGGGAGAUUUCCAGCUUGUUUGCAUUCCCAAGCAAACUUGACUCCAUUCUAUUCCAUCUCAACUUCUUUUUAUGAUGAUGACAAAAAGGGGGAGAGAUGCGAGAUUUGAAAUCUUUGAACUUAAACUUGUUGAAUUUUUAGUUUGUUUUGAUGUGAGACCUGUGUGUCUGUGUUUGGAUGAGGAUUGACUGAAUAUGGAUUUGGAUUUUGACUGCUGUUUAUAUUAAGUACUAUCGAUAUCUUAUGAAUGGCUUUACUCUCAUGAAAGACUAACCUAUUUUCUGUGGUUGCAGAUUCUAGUGUUAUCAUUAAGCUAUUAAUCUUUAUGAGAUAUCCAUAUUUGCUUGAGUAAUGUUUUGCAGGUCAAAGUUAUUCAAAUCUGUAGGAAAGUUUUGUCACCAUCAAAAAUGGGGAGAUUGUUGGAGAAAUCUUUAUGGAAUAUUUUGAAGCUGACAAAACGUUUCUAUCAGUCUAGUCUGAAGUUUUGCAGACUCUUCUAUUAAAGUCUGAAGACCUCCGGAACUACCAGACUCAAGACUCAAAGUCUAUUCUCAUUGACAGUUUCUAAUCCGUUGAAGAAAGGCUAUCCAGAUCUACUUCAUUAAGGAUUUGGCUUUAUCGACUUGAGAAGAUCUCUUGGCUGGAUAUGACAUAACGGAUUCCUUUAUUCAAAUUCAGAAUGAUUAAAGAUCCGAUGAUUGACGAAGUAUUCUUGGAAGGUUCUACUUAUGGAAACCAAGAUCCUGAUUGUAUGGGCGAGCAGGAUUGAUGGGCUAUCGACAUGUUCCUUUAAUAGCUCGAAUAAUUUUCCUAAUUGAUUAUGUCCAACGGGAAGAUUGGAAGAAUUCCUUUGAUAAGUGCCAACGGGUAUGAUGGCACAAAGGAGUAUAAAAGGAAGAUGUUCCUGUUGUUCGAGGUGAGUACGAUAGAAGAAUUCCAAAGUCUGAAACUCUUUGAUUCUUAGUCAAUUCAUUUGCUGAACGAAAUCUUGUACGCAAAAGAGAGUCUAUACUUUGAGAUACCUUGAGGAAGUGUGAUAGAAUAUCUACACUGUGAAAUCAAGGGAAAGCAGUACUGUAACAUCUCUCUUGUUCAUAGUGAAAUCCAGCCAGUGGGCUAUCAGUGCAGAAGAGUGGACGUAGGCUUGAAAUAAGCCAAACCACUAUAAAUCUUGUGUUCAAUUUUCUCUUCCCUACUCUCUGCUUUACUUUAAUCGUAGUUCGAUUUGUUAACCAAAGGAGAGCUUCCUUUCUAAUUUGUCUAGUGUUGCUUUCAUAUCUCGAGAAAUUAUUUAAACACCUAUUCACCCCCUCUAAGUGCUAUUACUAGCUAUAUCAUUAUCCACAUAUGCCAUUUGUGUUGACAUCAUGCAGACAAACUCUAGACAACGCCCCUUCAUAAUUGGUGUACUAGUGGGGUUUCGAAUCGUGGCACCUCGACAUCUCUUGGACUGUACAUUUAUGUUCUGCUAAAAUUAAUUCUUCAAUUUUUUAGUAGAGGAGAUAGGUUUCAUGAUGGUUUCAGAUUGAAAAUAUCAUAGGUAGACAAGAAACUACAAACCGAACAUAGGAAUUUCAUUAAAGAAAAGGCUUGAAAAAUACAAUUAGUUCAACCAAACCAAAUGUAAACAAACCAUGUCGGAAUUUAAUCAACAAUGUGACACUGAGGAUAAAAAUACACAUCGAAAUUUAAUCAACAACGCGAAUCUGGAAAUUAUAUCUAAGAAACUCAUUAGAAUUUAAUCGACAUGAGUCUAAAUUUGAAAGUACAAUAUAGAAAAUCCUUCAACGAGGGGGAGAAAAUGUAAUUUAGGUCAAACUCCCUCCAUCCAAACAUGGCUCGAGAGAAACUGGAUCAAUUAUUAGUGAGUGCACACGGUUCCUCGAUACAAUGCGCCAUCCGUGCAAGGUUGAAAGCCAUCCGCACAAAAGAUUGAUUGAAGGUUGAGUCACUGACUAGA
rnacentral:lncRNA from 1 species